rnacentral:lncRNA from 1 species
UUAUUCAUGCUAUAGCUGUAUUAUCCGGAAAUCGUAAUACUCGUGUGAAUACAUAGACCAUAACAUGUCCCUAGUGAGCCUCUAGUUGACUAGCUCGUUGGUCAACAGAUAGUCAUGGUUUCCUGACUAUGGACAUUAGAUGUCAUUGACAACGGGAUCGCAUCAUUAGGAGAAUGAUGUGAUGGACAAGACCCAAUGCUAAGCAUAGCACAAGAUCGUGUAGUUCGUUUUGCUAGAGCUUUUCCAAUGUCAAGUAUCUCUUCCUUAGACCAUGAGAUCGUGUAACUCCCGGAUACCGUAGGAGUGCUUUGGGUGUACCAAACGUCACAACGUAACUGGGUGACUAUAAAGGUGCACUACAGGUAUCUCCGAAAGUGUCUGUUGGGUUGACACGGAUCGAGGCUGGGAUUUGUCACUCCGUAUGACGGAGAGGUAUCACUGGGCCCACUCGGUAGUGCAUCAUCAUAAUGAGCUCAAAGUGACCAAGUGUUUGGUCACGGGAUCAUGCAUUACGGUACGAGUAAAGUGACUUGCCGGUAACGAGACUAACGAGGUAUUGGGAUACCGACGAUCGAGUCUCGGGCAAGUAACAUACCGUCUGACAAAGGGAAUUGCAUACGGGGUUGAUUGAAUCCUCGACAUCGUGGUUCAUCCGAUGACAUCAUCGAGGAGCAUGUGGGAGCCAACAUGGGUAUCCAGAUCCCGCUGUUGGUUAUUGACCGAAGAGCCGUCUCGGUCAUGUCUGCAUGUCUCCCGAACCCGUAGGGUCUACACACUUAAGGUUCGGCGACGCUAGGGUUAUUAGGAUGACUUGUAUGUGAUUACCGAAAGUUGUUUGGAGUCCCGGAUGGGAUCCCGGACGUCACGAGGAGUUCCGGAAUGGUCCGGAGGUAAAGAUUUAUAUAUGGGAAGUUGUCAUACGGACGCCGGAAGGUUUCGGGGGCAUAUCGGUAUUGUACCGGGGCCACGGGAAGGGUUCCGGGGGUCCACCCCUCCCGGGGGGCCACAUGGGCCGCGUGGGGCAGGAGCCAGCCCCUGGAGGGCUGGGCGCCCCCCCCUUGGGCCCAUGCGCCUAGGGUUGGGGGGGGAACCCUAGAGGGGGCGCCCCCCUUGCUUGGGGGGCAAGUCCCCCCUCCCUGGCCGCCGCCCCCCUCUAGAUCCCAUCUAGAGGGGCCGGCCCCCCUUGCCCCUUCCCCUAUAAAUAGAGGGGUGAGGGGAGGGCUGAACACCCAAGCCAAGGCGCAGCCCCUCCCCUCCCCAACACCUCUCCUCCUCCGUUGUGUGCUUGGCGAAGCCCUGUUGGAGUACUGCCUCACCACCAUCAUCACGCCAUCGUGCUGCUGCUGGAGCCUUCCUCCUCAACCUCUCCUUCCCCCUUGCUGGAUCAAGAAGGAGGAGACGUCGCCCGUACCAUAGGUGUGUUGAACGCGGAGGUGCUGUCCGUUCAGCACUUGGUCAUCGGUGAUCUGAAUCACGGCGAGUACGACUCCAUCAUCACCGUUCCCUCGAACGCUUCCGUACGCGAUCUACAAGUGGUAUGUAGAUGCAAACUCACUCCCUUGACUCGUUGCUUAGAUGAACUCAUAGAUGGAUGUUGGUGAAACCGUAGGAAAUUUUUUAAUUUCUGCAACGUUCCCCAACACAGAUCUGAAAUCAUGGCACUCGGGCCCUAGUGACAAGCAUUAAGCAUAGCAAAGUCAUAGCAACAUCAAUCUCAGACCAUAGUGGAUACUAGGGAUCAAACCCUAACAAAACUAACUUGAUUACAUGGUAAAUCGCAUCCAACCCAUCACCGUCCAGCAAGCCUACGAUGGAAUUACUCACGCACGACGGUGAGCAUCAUGAAAUUGGUGAUGGAGGAUGGUUGAUGAUGACGACGAUGAUGAAUCCCCCUCUCCGGAGCCCCGAACGGACUCCAGAUCAGCCCUCCCGAGAGAGAUUAGGGCUUGGCAGCGGCUCCGUGUCAUGAAACGCGAUGAAACUUUCUCCUUGAUUUUUUUCUCCCCAAGACGGUAUAUAUGGAGUUGGAGUUGAGGUCGGAGGAGGUCCGGGGGGCCCACGAGAUAGGAGGGCGCGCCCCUAGGGGGGGUGGGCGCCCCCUGUCUCGUGGACAGCCCGUGGGCCCCCUGACCUUGAUUCUUUCGCCAAAAAUUCUUAUUAAAUCUGAAAAGUGCCUCCGUGGAUUUCCAGGACAUUCCGAGAACUUUUCUUUUCUACACAUAAAACAACAUCAUGGCAGUUCUACUGAAAACAGCGUCAGUCCGGGUUAGUUUCAUUCAAAUCAUGCAAGUUAGAGUCCAAAACAAGGGCAAAAGUGUUUGGAAAAGUAGAUACGUUGGAGACGUAUCAACUCCCCCAAGCUUAAACCUUUGCUUGUCCUCAAGCAAUUCAGUUGACAAACUAAAAGUGAUAAAGAAAAAGUUUUACAAACUCUGUUUGCUCUUGUUGUUGUAAACAUGAAAAGCCAGCAUUCAAGUUUCAACAAAUAUUAUGAACUAAGCAUACUCACAAUAACACAUUGGUCUCACAAUUACUCAUAUCAAUAGCAUAAUCAGCUAGCGAGUCAUAAUAAUAAAACUCGAAUGACAACACUUUCUCAAAAUAAUCAUAACAUGAUAUAACAAAAUGAUAUCUCGCUAGCCCUUUCUGAGACCGCAAAACAUAAAUGCAGAGCACCUUUAAAGAUCAAGGACUGACUAAACAUUGUAAUUCAUGGUAAAAGAGAUCCAGUCAAGUCAUACCCAAUAUAAACCAAUAAUAAUGAAUGCAAAUGACAGUGUGCUCUCCAGUGGGUGCUUUUAAUAAGAAAGAUGAUGACUCAACAUAAAAGUAAAUAGAUAGGCCCUACGCAGAGGGAAGCAGGGAUUUGUAGAGGUGCCAGAGCUCGAUUUUAAAAUAGAGAUUGAAUAACAUUUUGAGCGGCAUACUUUCGCUAUCAACGCAACAACUAUGAGAUGGUUGUAUCUUCCAUACUACAUGCAUUAUAGGCAGUUCCCAAACAUAAUGGUAAAGGUUUAUACUCCCCCAACCACCAACAAGCAUCAAUCCAUGGCUUCUCGAAACAACGAGUGCCUCCAACAUACCACAACCCUGGGGGAGUUCUGUUUAAUUAUUUUGAUUUGCUUUGAUCUUUUUGGAUCAUGGGACUAGGCAUCCCGGUUACCGGCCCCUUUCUCGUGAAUGAGGAGUGGAGUCCAUUCCUCGUGAGAAUAACCCGCCUAGCAUGGAAGAUAUAGGCAUCCCUAGUUGAAACAUGAGCUGCUCGAGCAUACAAAACAGAAUUUCAUUUGAAGGUUUGGAGUUUGGCACAUACAAAUUUACUUGGAAUGGCAGGUAGAUACCGCAUAUAGGAAGGUAUAGUGGACUCAUAUGGAACAACUUUGGGGUUUAAGGAGUUUGGAUGCACAAGCAGUAUUCCCACUUAGUACAGGUGAAGGCUAGCAAAAGACUGGGAAGCGACCAACUGAGAGAGCGAUAACAGUCAUAAGCAUGCAUUAAAAUUAACUCACACCGGAUACAAGCAUGAGUAGGAUAUAAUCCACCAUGAACAUAAAUAUCGUGAAGGCUAUGUUGAUUUGAUUCAACUACAUGCGUGAACAUGUGCCAAGUCGAGUCACUCAAUUCAUUCAAAGGAGGAUACCACCCCAUCAUAUCACAUCAUAAUCAUUCUAAUAGCACAUUGGCACGCAAGGUAAACCAUUAUAACUCAUAGCUAAUCAAGCAUUGCACAAGCAACUAUAAUCUCUAAAUGUCAUUGCAAAUAUGUUUACUUCAUAAUAGCUGACUCAGGAACGAUGGAUCAUCAUAUUUACAAAAACAAGAGAGGUCGAGUUCAUACCAGCUUUUCUCAUUGAAGGAAAUAUGCCCUAGAGGCAAUAAUAAAGUUAUUAUUUAUUUCCUUAUUUCAUGAUAAAUGUUUAUUAUUCAUGCUAGAAUUGUAUUAACCGGAAACAUAAUACAUGUGUGAAUACAUAGACAAACAUAGUGUCACUAGUAUGCCUCUACUUGACUAGCUCGUUAAUCAAAGAUGGUUAAGUUUCCUAACCAUAGACAUGAGUUGUCAUUUGAUUAACGGGAUCACAUCAUUAGAAGAAUGAUGUGAUUGACAUGACCCAUUCUGUUAGCUCAGCACACGAUUGUUUAGUAUAUUGCUAUUGCUUUAUUCAUGACUUAUACAUGUUCCUAUGACUAUGAGAUUAUGCAACUCCCGUUUACUGGAGGAACACUUUGUGUGCUACUAAACUUCACAACGUAACUGGGUGAUUAUAAAGGAGCUCUACAUGUGUCUCUGAAGGUACAUGUUGGGUUUGCGUAUUUCGAGAUUAGGAUUUGUCACUCCGAUUGUCGGAGAGGUAUCUCUGGGCCCUCUCGGUAAUGCACAUCACUAUAAGCCUUGCAAGCAAUGUAGCUAAUGAGUUAGUUACGGAAUGAUGCAUUAUGUAACGAGUAAAGAGACUUGCCGGUAACGAGAUUGAACUAGGUAUUGGAUACCGACGAUCGAAUCUCGGGCAAGUAACACACCGAUGACAAAGGGAACAACGUAUGUUGUUAUGCGGUCUGACCGAUAAAGAUCUUCGUAGAAUAUGUGGGAGCCAAUAUGAGCAUCCAGGUUCCUCUAUUGGUUAUUGACCGGAGACGUGUCUCGGUCAUGUCUACAUAGUUCUCGAACCCGUAGGGUCCGCACGCUUAAGGUUUCGAUGACAGUUAUAUUAUGAGUUUUGAUGUACCGAAGGAGUUCGGAGUCCCGGAUGAGAUCGGGGACAUGACGAGGAGUCUCAAAAUGGUCGAGACGUAAAGAUCGAUAUAUUGGACUACUAUAUUUGGAGUUCGGAAAGGUUCCGAGUGAUUUGGGUAUUUUUCGGAGUACCGGAGAGUUAUGGUAAUUCGCCGGUGAGUAUAUGGGCCUUAUUGGGCUUUAGGGGAAAGAGAGAGGAGAGGCUGGGCGCCCCCCCAAGGCCUAGUCCAAAUUGGACUAGGGGAGGGGCUGCGCCCCCUCCUUCCUUCUCUUCUCUUCCCCCUUUCCUUGACUCCUACUCAUACUACUUGGAAGGGGGGAAUCCUACUCCUGGUGGGAGUAGGACUCCUCCUUGGCGCGCCUCCUCCUGGCCGGCCGCCCCCUCCCCCUUGAUCCUUUAUAUACGAGGACAGGGGGGCACCUCUAGGCACAACAACAAUUGAUCCCUUGGAUCUCUUAGCCAUGUGCGGUGCCCACCUCCACCAUAGUCCACCUCGAUAAUAUCGUAGCGGUGCUUAGGCGAAGCCCUGUGAUGGUAGAACAUCAAGAUUGUCACCACGCCGUCAUGCUGACGGAACUCUCCCUCGACACUCGGCUGGAUCGGAAUUCGAGGGACGUCAUCGAGCUGAACGUGUGCUAGAACUCGGAGGUGCCGUAGUUUCGGUACUUGAUCGGUCGGGCCGUGAAGACGUACGACUACAACAACCACGUUGUUCUAACGCUUCCUCUUUUGGUCUAUGAGGGUACUCUCCCCUCUCGUUGCUAUGCAUCACCACGAUCUUGCGUGUGCGUAGGAGAUUUUUGAAAUUACUACGUUACCCAACACUCAUCCCAAUAAGUCCAUCAUAUAUCAUCAUUAUUGCCUUUCACUUGCACGACCGAAUGAAGUGUAUAAUAAUAAGAGUGCACGUGCAUUGGACUAAGCUGGAAUCUGCAAGCAUUCAACUCAAGAGAUAAGACAAGUAAUAUGGGCUCUAAAUAUAAAUAAUCAAUCAUGCAUAUAAGAGCCACUAAGCAUUUUCAAUAUGGUCUUCUCGACCCCCAGAAUAAAGAAAAGAAAAUAAAACUAUUUACACGAGAAAGCUCCCAACAAGUAAAAGAAGAACGAGAAAUAUUUUUGGGUUUUCAUUUUAAUUUCUACUACAAGCAAGGAAAUUAAACUAACUAAUUUUAUUGUUUUUUCUUAAGGUUUAUCUAACACACAAGAAGAAAACUAGAAAAAGAGAUUUAAACUAACAUGGAUAAUACAAUGAAAGAGUAUGAGCACCGACGACUAGUGUGUGAACAUGAAUGUAAAGUCGGUGAGAAAUACGUACUCCCCCAAUCUUAGGCUUUUGGCCUAAGUUGGUUUAAUACCAAGGACCGCCUGGCUGAUAUCCAUAAGUGAAACUGGGAUUGUACUGAGAUGCAGAGGCAACAGCCUCCUGGGCAGCAGCGUGUUGGCGAGCUACCUCCAUUCCCCUCUCAUAUUCAGUGGCUUCUUCCCUGGUGAUAACAUAUCCUCCUCUUGCCUGAUAAUCAAAAAGGUAGGGGACAGGAAGAGUGACAGGGAUGACGUUGCGUCUAUCAUAGAUUAGUCGAUAAUGGAGGAAUUGUUCAUUCCUCUCAAGAAAUUGAUGAUCAAACAUAGCUUCUUUAUCUAAAUAAGCAGGAGGUACAAUCAUAUCCCCCUCUCGUGGAGCUAUAUUAAGAAAAUUUGCCACACGGGUUGCAUAAAUUCCUCCAAAGAAAUUUCCCCUUUUACUAUUAUUAUGCAACCUACGUGCAACUAUUGCCCCCAAGUUAUAACCUCUGUAACCCGACACAGCACUCUUGAGGACACAAAGAUCAGGGGCACACAAGUGACUUACUUCGUCCUUACCGUUAAUGCAUUUACCAAUAAAGAGAGCAAAGUAAUGUAUAGCAGGAAAAUGAAUGCUCCCUAUGGUAGCUUGUGUUACGUCCCUAGAUUCUCCCACAGUAAUACUAGCAAGAAAAUUUCUAACUUCAGAUUUGGGAGGAUCAUUAAUAUUACCCCACUGCGGGAGUUUGCAAGCAGUUGUGAAAUCCUCUAAAUCCAUGGUAUAAGAUGUAUCAUAAAUAUCAAACAUAACACUAGGAGAAUUACGCGAAGAAAUAUAUUCGAACCUCCGCACAAAGGAAUCAGUCAAUUGAUAAUAUUGAGGACACUUAUCUUGUAAGAAGUCCUCCAGCUCGGCAUUACGCACAUACGCGUCAAAUUCCUCCUUGAAGCCUAUUUCGACCAUGAAAUCAUCAGAUGGCCACUCGCAAGCCCGUACAUUUGCGUCCCUUGGCAAGUUAACAUCUUGUUCACGUAUAGCAAUCUAGGCCCUUUCUUUGCCGAGGAACCUCCUUGGUACAUUCUUCUAAGCAUAUUUCUUUUUCUGAAAAAAUCUGAAAUUUUAGUAACUUCAAAAUAAAAGUGAAUAAAACUAAACAAGAUUGAUAGCAACUACUCCUACAAGUGCCUAGAGCCUAUAUCAUGCAUUGGAAUUGCUUGGGACCUCAAAAAUUUAACAUGCAAGCUCAAGAACAUGGUCACCUAAGCAGCAAAAAUUUGCAACGAAUAAAGCACUAGAACAAAAACUAAUUGGACCAAUGGAGGAGUCACAUACCAAGCAACAAUCCCCCAAAGCAGUUUUGCAAAUGGAGCUUUGAGCUAAGAGAUCGAAAAUCGCAGCAAAACGAGUUAGAACUCGGGCUUGAGCUGGAUGGGGAUUUUUUUUGGGUAGAAGAUGAAGUGUGUGGGUGCUGGCAUAAGUGGAGGGGAGUCACCAGGGGCCCACGAGACAGGGGGCGCACCCUAUAGGGGGCGCGCGCCCUCGUCUCUCGUGGCCUGGUGCUUGGCCCUCCUGCAGUGUUUUCAGUGCCUAAAAUCCUCAAAUAUUCCAGAAAAAAUCAUACUAAAUUUGCAGGGCAUUUGGAGCAGUUUUAUUUUCGGACUAUUUUUUUAUUGCCCGGAUAAAUCAGAAAACAGACAGAUAAUACUAUUUUUUGCUUUAUUUAUUCUAAAUAACAGAAAGUAAAAAGAGGGUACAGAAGGUUGUGCCUUCUAGUUUCAUCCAUCUCGUGAUCAUCAAAAUGAAUCCACUAACAAGGUUGAUCAAGUCUUGUUAACAAACUCAUUCCGAAUAACAUGGAACCGGAGAAAUUUCGAAUAACACUAAGUUACCUCAACGGGGAUAUGAAAAUCCCCAACAAUAAGAAUAUCAUACUUUUUCUUGACAGUAGGGAGAGGAAAUUCAAAACCUCCAAAAAUGAUAGUUGGAACUUUUUCAAUAGAAUUGAUGCUAUGAACUUGAGAUUGUUUCCUCGGAAAGUGUACCAUAUGCUCAUUACCAUUAACAUGAAAAGUGACAUUGCCUUUGUUGCAAUCAAUAAUAGCCCCUGCAGUAUUAAGAAAAGGUCUACCAAGGAUAAUAGACAUACUAUCGUCCUCGGGAAUAUCAAGAAUAACAAAGUCCGUUAAAAUAGUGACAUUUGCAACCACAACAGGCACAUCCUCAAAAAUACCGACAAGUAUAGCAGUUGAUUUAUUAGCCAUUUGCAAAUAUAUUUCAGUAGGUGUCAACUCAUUCAAUUCAAGUCUACGAUAUAAAGAGAGAGGCAUAACACUAACACCGGCUCCAAGAUCACAUAAAGCAAUUCUAACAUAAUUUCUUUUAAUAGAGCAUGGUAUAGUUGGUACACCCGGAUCUCCAAGUUUCUUUGGUAUUCCACCCUUAAAAGUGUAAUUAGCAAGCAUGGUGGAAAUUUCAGCUUCCGGUAUCUUUCUUUUAUUCGUGAUGAUAUCCUUCAUAUAUUUAGCAUAAGGAUUUACUUUCAGCAUAUCAGUUAAGCGCAUACGUAGGAAAAUAGGUCUAAUCAUUUCAGCAAAGCGAUCAAAAUCCUCAUCAUCCUUUGACUUGGAUGGUUUAGGAGGAAAGGGCAUGGGUUUCUAAACCCAUGGUUCUCUUUCUUUACCAUGCUGCCUAGCAACAAAAUAUCUCUUAUCAUAACGUUGAUUCUUUGAUUGUGGGUUAUCAAGAUCAACAACAGGUUCAAUCUCUACAUCAUUAUCUUGGCUAGGUUGAGCAUCAACGUGAACAUUAUCAUUAACAUUAUUACUAGGUUCAUGUUCAUCACCUGAUUGUGUUUCAGCAUCAGAAAUAGAAAUAUGAUUGGGAUUCUCAGGUGUGUCUAUAGUAGGUUCACUAGAAGCAUGUAAGGUUCUAUCGUUUUUCUUCUUCUUCUUCUUAGAAGAACUAGGUGCCUCUAAAUUAUUUCUCUGAAAAUCUUGCUCAAUUCUCUUAGGGUGGCCUUCAGGAUACAAAGGUUCCUGAGUCAUUCUACCAGUUCUAGUAGCCAUUCUAACAGCAAAGUCAUUUUUAUUAUUCAAUUCAUCAAGCAAAUCGUUUUGAGCUUUGAGUACUUGAUCAGCUUGAGUAGCAACCAUAGAAGCAUAUUUGCUAACACGGUGAAGUUCAUCUUUAACUCUAGCCAGAUUAUCACUUACGCGUCCUAUCUCGAAAGCAUUAUUCUUUAACUCUCUACCAACAUAAGCAUUAAAAAUUUCUUUUCUAGCCAUAAAGUCAUCAAAUUCAUCUAAGCAUGGGCUAUGAAAUUUAGUAGAGGGUAUUUCAACUUUAUCGUAUCUAUAGAGAGAAUUUACCUUCACUACCUAUGUCGGGUUAUCAAGACAAUGUAGUUCUUCAGACGGUAUAUUCAGACCAUGUAUUUCUUCAAUAGGAGGUAAAUUCUUAACAUCUUCAGCUUUAAUACCUUUUUCUUUCAUUGAUUUCUUUGCCUCUUGCAUAUCUUCAGGACUGAGAAAUAAAACACCUCUCUUCUUCGAAGUGAGUUUAGGAAUAGGCUCAGGAGUUGGCUCAAUUGGUUCAGGAAUUACUUCAGGAACUGGCUCGGGAAGAGUCCAAUUAUUUUCAUUAGUCAACAUAUUAUUCAAUAGUAUUUCAGCUUUGUCGACUGUUCUUUCCCUGAAAACACAACCAGACAACUAUCCAAGUGGUCCUUGGAAGCAUCGGUUAGUCCAUUAUAAAAGAUAUCAAGUAUUUCAUUUUUCUUAAGAUGAUGAUCAGGCCAAGCAUAAAGUAACCAGAGAAGCCUCCCCCAAGCUUGUGGGAGACUCUCUUCUUUGAUUUGCACAAAAUUAUAUAUUUCCCGCAAGGCAACUUGUUUCUUAUGAGCAGGGAAAUAUUUAGCAGAGAAGUAAUAAAUCAUAUCCUGGGGACUACGCACACAACCAGGAGCAAGAGAAUUAUACCAAGUCUUAGCAUCACCCUUUAAUGAGAACGGAAAUAUCUUAAGGAUAUAUAAAUAGCAAGACUUCUCAUCAUGAGUAAAUAGAGUGGCUAUAUCAUUCAACUUGGUAAGAUGUGCCACAACAGUUUCAGAUUCAAGGCCAUAAAAAGGAUCAGAUUCAACUAAAGUAAUAAUAUCAGGAUCAACAGAGAAUUCAUAAUCCUUAUCAGUAACACAGAUAGGUGAAGUGGCAAAAGUAGGAUCGGAUUUCAUUCAAGCAUUAAGAGACUGAUGCUUCCAUUUAGCUAAUAAUUUCUUAAGAUCAGAUCUAUCAUUGCAAGUAAGAAUUUCCAUAGCAGCUUUUUCAUUCAUAACAUAACCCUUAGGAACAACGGGUAAUACAUAAUCAUUGGGGGAACGUUCAUCAUCACUAUCAUCAAUAGCAUCUUCAAUAUUUUCAUUCCCCCUAACUCUAGCAAGUUGUUCAUCAAGAAAUUCACCUAAUGGCAAAGUAGUAUCACGCACAGAAGUAGUUUCAUCAUGCAUAGCAGAAGUGGCAUCAUCAAUAACAUGCGACAUAUCAGAAUUCAUAGCAGUAGCAGGUUUAGGUGUCGCAAGCCUACUAAUAACGGAAGGAGAAUCUAGUGCAGAGCUAGAUGGCAGUUCCUUACCUCCCCAUGUAGUUGAGGGAUAGAUCUUGGUCUUAGCGUCUUUCAAGUUCUUCAUAGUGAUCAACAGAUAUAAAACCCAAGUGACUCAGAGAAUAGAGCUAUGCUCCCCGGCAACGGCGCCAGAAAUUAGUCUUGAUAACCCACAAGUGUAGGGGAUCGCAACAACUUUCGAGGGUGAAGUACAACCCAAAUUUAUUGAUUCGACACAAGGGGAGCCAAAGAAUAUUCUUGAGUAUUAGCAGUUGAGUUGUAGAUUCAACCACACCUGGAUAACUUAGUAUCUGCAGCAAAGUAUUUAGUAGCAAGAGUGGUAUGAUAGUAAUGGUAACAGUAGCAAUAGAAAAGGUAAAUGUUUUUGGGUUUUUGUAGUAGUUGUAACGGUAGCAACAGAAAAGUGAAUAAGCGAAGAACAAUAUAUGAAAAGCUCGUAGGCAAUGGAUCAGUGAUGGAUAAUUAUGCCGGAUGCGAUUCCUCAUGCAAUAGUUAUAACAUAGGGUGAUAUAGAACUAGCUCCAAUUCAUCAAUGUAAUGUAGGCAUGUAUUCCGUAAAUAGUCAUACGUGCUUCUGGAAAAGAACUUGCAUGACAUCUUUUGUCCUACCCUCCCGUAGCAGUGGGGUCCUAGUGGAAACUAAGGGAUAUUAAGGCCUCCUUUUAAUAGAGAACCGGACCAAAGCAUUAACACAUAGUGAAUACAUGAACUCCUCAAACUACGGUCAUCACCGAGAAGUAUCCCGAUUAUUGUCACUUCGGGGUUGUCGGAUCAUAACACAUAAUAGGUGACUAUAGACUUGCAAGAUAGGAUCAAGAACACACAUAUAUUCAUGAAAACAUAAUAGGUUCAGAUCUGAAAUCAUGGCACUUGGGCCCUAGUGACAAGCAUUAAGCAUAGCAAAGUCAUAGAACAUCAAUCUCAGAACAUAGUGGAUACUAGGGAUCAAACCCUAACAAAACUAACUUGAUUACAUGGUAAAUCUCAUCCAACCCAUCACCGUCCAGCAAGCCUACGAUGGAAUUACUCACGCAUGGCGGUGAGCAUCAUGAAAUUGGUGAUGGAGGAUGGUUGAUGAUGACGACGGCGACGAAUCCCCCUCUCCGGAGCCCCAAACGGACUCCAGAUCAGCCCUCCCGAGAGAGAUUAGGGCUUGGCGGCGGCUCCGUGUUGUGAAACGCGAUGAAACUUUCUCCUUGAUUUUUUCUCCCCGAGACGGUAUAUAUGGAGUUGGAGUUGAGGUCGGAGGAGGUCCGGGGGGCCCACGAGAUAGGAGGGUGCGCCCCUAGGGGGGGGGGGCGCCCCCUGUCUCAUGGACAGCCCGUGGGCCCCCUGACCUUGAUUCUUUCGCCAAAAAUUCUUAUUAAAUCUGAAAAGUGCCUCCGUGGAUUUCCAGGACAUUCCGAGAACUUUUGUUUUCUACACAUAAAACAACAUCAUGGCAGUUCUGCUGAAAACAACGUCAGUCCGGGUUAGUUUCAUUCAAACCAUGCAAGUUAGAGUCCAAAAUAAGGGCAAAAGUGUUUGGAAAAGUAGAUACGUUGGAGACGUAUCAGUCAGCCAGAAAAUUCUAGACCCGGUUCCUAAUUAAAAAGAACCAAAUUGUUGAUUCUCCGGACGCCGAGGCUCUAGUAGCCUUUAAACACAACAUUCACGGCGAAUGGCUCGCCCGACACCUCGACCAAGAAAAGGCGAAGUCCAUGGCAUCCCUCACAUCACUUAUGACCCGCUUUUGCGCAGGCGAAGAUAGCUGGCUAGCUCGUAGCAGCAACAGUACCAGCGACCCCGGCACUUCUGAAGCUAGAAACAGCAACGGCAGGCCCCGACGCAAUAAAAAAAACGUCAGAGCUACACUGACAAUGCCGAAGACACGGCGGUCAACGCCAGAUUCAGUGGACCCAAAUCUGAUCAACGGAAGAAGCCAUUCAAAAGGAACAAAAACGGUUCAUCUAGCCUGGACCGAAUACUCGAUCGACCUUGCUAGAUUCAUGGCACCCCUGAUAAGCCUGCCAACCAUACCAACAGAAGUUGUUGGGUCUUUAAACAGGCCUGUAAGUUAAACACCGAACACACAGGGAAAGAGUCGCCCAGCAAGGAUGACGAUGAGGAGCCUCGCCCGCCGAACACAGGGGGACAGAAGAAAUUUUCCCCGGAGGUCAAAACGGUGAACAUGAUAUACGUCACUCACAUCCCCAAGAGGGAGCGCAAGCACACGUUAAGGGACUGAUACGUCCAUUUUGCAUCAUGCUUUUAUAUCGAUAUUUAUUGCAUUAUGGGCUGUUAUUACACAUUAUGUCAUAAUACUUAUGGCUAUUCUCUCUUAUUUUACAAGGUUUAACAUAAAUAGGGAGAAUGCGACAGCUGGGAUUCUGGGCUGGAAAAGGAGCAAAUAUUGGAAACCUAUUCUGCACAGCUCCAAAAGUCCUGAAACUCAACGGAAUCAUUUUUGGAAUUAAUGUGAAUUAUUGAGCGAAAGAAGUACCAGAGGGGGCUCACACCCUGGCCACGAGGGUGGGGGGCACGCCCACCCCUACUGGGCAUGCCUUCCUGCCUCAUGCCCCCCCUGGUGGCCCUCGGUGCCCAUCUUCUGCUAUAUGAAGUCUUUUACCCUGGAAAAAAAUCAUAAGCAAGCUUACGGGACGAAACCCCGCCGCCACGAGGCGGAACCUUGGCGGAACCAAUCUAGGGCUCCCGCGGAGCUGUUUUGCAGGGGGAAACUUCCCUCCAGGAGGGGAAAAUCAUCACCAUCGUCAUCACCAACGAUCCUCUCAUCGGGAGGGGGUCAAUCUCCAUCAGCAUCUUCACAAGCACCAUCUCCUCUGCUCAAACGCUAGUUCAUCUCUUGUAUCCAAUCUUUGUACCCAAACCUCAGAUUGGUACCUGUGGGUUGCUAGUAGUGUUGAUUACUCCUUGUAGUUGAUGCUAAUUUCUUUAUCCGGUGGAAGAUCAUAUGUUCAAAUCCUUAAUACAUAUCAAUACCCCUCUGAUUUUGAACAUGAAUAUGCUUUGUGAGUAGUUACAUUUGUUCAUGAGGACAUGGGAGAAGUCUUGCUAUUAGUAGUCAUGUGAAUUUGGUAUUCGUUCGAUAUUUUGAUGAGAUGUAUGUUAUCUCUCCUCUAGUGGUGUUAUGUGAACGUCGACUACAUGACACUUCACCAUUAUUUGGGCCUAGAGGAAGGCAUUGAGAAGUAAUAAGUAGAUGAUGGGUUGCUAGAGUGACAAAAGCUUAAACCCUAGUUUAUGCGUUGCUUCGUAAGGGGCUGAUUUGGAUCCACUAGUUUCAUGCUAUGGUUAGGUUUACCUUAAUACUUCUUUGGUAGUUGCUGAUGCUUGCAAUAGGGGUUAAUCAUAAGUGGGAUGCUUGUCCAAUAAAGGACAGCACCCAAGCACCGGUCCACCCACAUAUCAAAUUAUCAAAGUAACGAAUGCAAAUCAUAUGAGCGUGAUGAAAACUAGCUUGACGAUAAUUCCCAUGUGUCAUCGGGAGCGCUUUUCUCAUUAUAAGAAAUUGUCCAGGCUUGUCCUUUGCUACAAAAAGGAUUGGGUCACCUUGCUGCACUUUAUUUACUUUCAUUGCUUGUUACCCGUUACAAAUUAUCUUAUCACAAAACUAUCUAUUACCUACAAUUUUAGUGCUUGCAGAGAAUACCUUACUGAAAACCGCUUGUCAUUUCCUUCUGCUCCUCGUUGGGUUUGACACUCUUACUUAUCGAAAGGACUAUGAUAGAUAUCCUAUACUUGUGGGUCAUCAAGACUCUUUUCUGGUGCCGUUGCUGGGGAGUGAAGCGCCUUUGGUGAGUGGAACUUGGUAAGGAAACAUUUAUAUAGUGUGCUGAAAUUUACCGUCACUUGUUACUAUUGAAACUAAUCCUUUGAAGGGCUUGUUCGGGGCAUCUUCGCCCCGACCAGUAGAGCAAAGAGUUGCUCCUCAACCUACUGAACCUACUGAAAAUGUUUACUUUGAGAUUCCUUCGGGUAUGAUAGAAAAACUGCUAGAUAAUCCCUUUGCCGGAGAUGGAACAUUGCAUCCCGAUUUACACCUUAUCUAUGUGGAUGAAGUUUGUGGAUUAUUUAGGCUUGCAGGUAUACCCGAUGAUGUUGUUAAGAGGAAGGUCUUCCCUUUAUCUUUGAAGGGAGAUGCAUUGACAUGGUAUAGGCUAUGUGAUGAUACGGGAUCUUGGGACUAUAAACGAUUGAAAUUGGAAUUUCACCAGAAGUUUUAUCCUAUGCAUCUUGUUCAUCGUGAUCAUAAUUAUAUAUAUAAUUUUUGGCCUCGUGAAGGAGAAAGUAUCGCUCAAGCUUGGGGGAGACUUAAGUCAAUGUUAUAUCCAUGCCCCAAUCAUGAGCUCUCAAGAGAAAUGAUUAUUCAAAAAAUUUAUGCUCGUUUUUCUCUCAAUGAUCGCACCAUGAUCGAUACUUCCUGUGUUGGUUCCUAUCUGCUGAAGACUAUUGAAUUCAAGUGGGACUUAUUGAAAAGAAUUAAAUGCAACUCUGAAGAUUGGGGUUCCGAUGAUGGUAAGGAUUCAGGUAUGACACCUAAGUUUGAUUGUGUUAAGUCUUUUAUGGAUACCGAUGAUUUUCAUGGAUUUAGCACUAAAUAUGGAGUUGACUCUGAGAUAGUAACUUCUUUCUGUGAAUCUUUUGCUACUCACGUUGAUCUCCCUAAGGAGAAGUGGUUUAAAUAUAAUCCUCCCAUUGAAGUAAAAGUAGUUGCACCUGUUACAGUUGAAGAAAAGAUUAUCACUUAUAAUGAUCCCAUUGUUCCUACUACUUAUGUCGAGAAACCACCUUUCCUUGUUAGGAUAAAAGGUCAUGCUAAAGCUUCAACUGUUGUUCAUAAGAGUAAUACUAGAACAUAUACACCUCCUGAGAAAAUUAAAUUUGAACCUAGUAUUGCUAUGGUUAAAGAUCUCAUGGCUGAUAAUAUAGAUGGGCAUGUUAUUUCUUCUGUGAGGAAGCUGCUAACAUUGCUAGACCGGAUUCUAAGAUACAUAGACCUGUUGUAGGCAUGCCUGUUAUUUCUGUUAAAAUAGGAGAUCAUUGUUAUCAUGGCUUAUGUGAUAUCGGUGCUAGUGCUAGUGCAAUACCUAUUUCCUUAUACAAACAAAUUAUGCAUGAUAUUGCACCCGCUGAGUUAGAAGAUAUUGAUGUUACAAUUAAGCUUGCCAAUAGAGAUACUAUUUCACCAUUUGGGAUUGUUAGAGAUGUUGAAGUCUUGUGUGGGGAAGUUAAAUAUCCUGCCGAUUUUCUUGUUCUUGGUUCCCCGCAAGAUAGCUUUUGUCCCAUUAUAUUUGGUAGACCCUUCUUGAAUACUGUUAAUGCUAAGAUAGAUUGUGAAAAGGAUGUUGUUACAAUUGGCUUGGGGGAUGUGAAACAUGAGUUUAAUUUUGCCAAGUUCCAUAGACAACCCCAUGAUAAGGAAUUGCCUAGUAAGGAUGAAAUUAUUAGUCUUGCUUCUAUUGCCGUACCUCCUACUGGUCCGUUAGAACAAUAUUUGCUAGACCAUGAAAAUGAUAUGUUUAUGAAUGAAAGAAGGGAAAAUAGAUGAAGUAUUCCUUAAACAGGGUCCUAUUCUGAAACACAACUUGCCUGUUGAAAUCCUAGGGGAUCCUCCACCACCCAAGGGUGAUCCCGUGUUUGAGCUUAAACCGUUACCUGAUACUUUUAAAUAUGCUUAUCUUGAUGAAAAGAAGAUAUAUCCUGUUAUUAUUAGUGCUAACCUUUCAGAGCAGGAAGAGGAAAGAUUAUUGAAAACUCUGAAGAAGCAUAGUGCUACUAUUGGAUAUACUCUUGAUGAUCUUAAGGGCUUUAGUCCCACUCUAUGCCAACACAAAAUUAAAUUGGACGAAGACGCCGAACUAGUUAGAGAUCAUCAAUGACGGUUAAAUCCUAAGAUGAAAGAAGUGGUACGAAAGGAAAUACUAAAGCUCCUCGAGGCAGGUAUAAUUUAUCCCGUUGCUGAUAGUCAGUGGGUAAGUCCUGUCCAUUGUGUCCCUAAGAAGGGAGGUAUUACUGUUGUUACUAAUGAUAAAGAUGAAUUGAUUCCGCAAAGAAUUAUCACAGGUUAUAGGAUGGUAAUUGAUUUCCGCAAAUUAAAUAAAGCUACUAAGAAAGAUCAUUACCCUUUACCUUUUAUUGAUCAAAUGCUAGAAAGACUAUCCAAACAUACACAUUUCUGCUUUCUAGAUGGUUAUUCUGGUUUCUCUCAAAUACCUGUGUCAGCGAACGAUCAAGCAAAGACUACUUUUACUUGCCCUUUCGGUACUUUUGCUUAUAGACGUAUGCCUUUUGGUCUAAGUAAUGCACCUACUACCUUUAAAAGAUGCAUGAUGGCUAUAUUAUCUAACUUUUGUGAAAAGAUUUGUGAGGUAUUCAUGGAUGAUUUCUCUGUUUAUGGAUCCUCUUUUCAUGAUUGCCUGAGCAACUUUGAUCAAGUUUUGCAGAGAUGCGAAGACACUAGUCUCGUCUUGAAUUGGGAGAAGUGCCACUUUAUGGUUAAUGAAGGCAUUGUCUUGGGGCAUAAGAUUUCUGAAAGAGGUAUUGAAGUUGAUAAAGCUAACGUUGAUGCUAUUGAAAGGAUGCCGUGUCCCAAGGACAUUAAAGGUAUACGAAGUUUCCUUGGUCAUGCCGGUUUUUAUAGGAGGUUCAUUAAGGUCCUUUUUAAAAUCUCUAGGCCUCUGACUAAUCUAUUGCAAAAAGAUAUUCCUUUUGUCUUCGAUGAUGAUUGUGUAGAAGCAUUUGAAAUACUUAAGAAAGCAUUGAUUUCUGCACCUAUUGUUCAGCCACCUGAUUGGAAUUUACCCUUUUAAAUUAUGUGUGAUGCUAGUGAUUAUGCUAUAGGUGCAGUGCUAGGGCAAAGAAUUGAUAAGAAAUUAAAUGUUAUUCAAUAUGCUAGUAAAACUCUAGACACUGCACAGAGGAAUUAUGCUACUACUGAAAAAGAAUUCUUAGUAGUUGUAUUUGCAUGUGAUAAGUUCACACGUUAUAUUGUUGAUUCUUAAGUAACUAUUCACAGUGAUCAUGCUGCUAUUAAAUAUCUUAUUGAAAAGAAAGAUGCUAAACCUAGAAUUAUUAGAUGGGUUCUCCUACUACAAAAAUUUGAUUUGCAUAUUAUUGAUAGAAAGGGAGCUGAGAACCCCAUUGCAGACAACUUGUCUAGGUUAGAGAAUGUUCUUGAUGACCCACUACCUAUUGAUGAUAGCUUUCCUGAUGAACAAUUAGCUAUCAUAAAUGCUUCUAGUACUGCUCCAUGGUAUGCUGAUUAUGCUAAUUACAUUGUUGCUAAAUUUAUACCACCUAGUUCCACAUACUAGCAAAAGAAAAAGUUCUUUUAUGAUUUAACACAUUACUUCUGGGAUGACCCACACCUUUAUAAAGAAGGAGUAGAUGGUGUUAUUUGACGUUGUGUACCUGAGCAUGAACAGGAACAGAUCCUACGCAAGUGUCACUCCGAGGCAUAUGGAGGACACCACGCUGGAGAUAGAACUGCACAUAAGGUAUUGCAAUCCGGUUUUUAUUGGCCUACUCUCUUCAAAGAUGCCUGUAAGUUUGUCUUCUCUUGUGAUGAAUGUCAAAGAAUUGGUAAUAUUAGUAGACGUCAAGAAAUGCCUAUGAAUUAUUCUCUUCUUAUUGAACCAUUUUAUGUUUGGGGCUUUGAUUAUAUGGGACCUUUUCCUGCCUCUAAUGGUUAUACACAUACUUUAGUUGUUGUUGAUUAUAUUACUAAGUGGGUAGAAGCUAUUCCAACUAGUAGUGCUGAUCAUAACACCUCUAUUAAGAUGCUUAAAGAAGUUAUUUUUUCGAGGUUUGGAGUCCCUAGAUACUUAAUGACUGAUGGUGGUUCACAUUUUAUUCAUGGUGCUUUCCGUAAAAUGCUUGCUAAGUAUGAUGUUAAUCAUAGAAUUGCAUCUCCUUAUCACCCGCAGUCUAGUGGUCAAGUAGAAUUGAGUAAUAGAGAGCUCAAAUUAAUUUUGCAAAAGACUAUUAAUAGAUCUAGAAAUAAUUGGUCCAAGAAACUUGAUGAUGCAUUAUGGGCCUAUAGAACUGCAUAUAAGAAUCAUAUGGGUAUGUCUCCGUAUAAGAUGGUUUAUGGAAAAGCAUGUGACUUACCUCUCGAACUUGAACAUAAGGCAUAUUGGGCUAUUAAAGAGCUCAACUAUGAUUCCAAACUUGUCGGUGAGAAGAGGUUAUUUGAUAUUAGCUCACUUGAUGAAUGGAGAACCCAGGCCUAUGAGAAUGCCAAGGUGUUUAAAGAAAAAGUUAAAAGAUGGCAUGACAAAAGGAUACAAAAGCGUGAGUUUAACGUAGGUGAUUAUGUGUUGCUAUUCAAUUGUCGUUUAAGAUUUUUUGCAGGAAAACUUCUCUCUAAAUGGGAAGACUCUUACGUUAUCGAGGAGGUCUACCAUUCCGGUGCCAUAAAAAUCAACAACUUCGAAGGCACAAGUCCGAGGGUGGUGAACGGUCAAAGAAUCAAACAUUAUAUCUUAGGUAAUCCUAUAAAUGUUGAAACUAAUAUUAUUGAAACCGUAACCCCGGAGGAAUACAUAAGGGACACUUUCCAGAAUGUUUCAGACUCCGAAAAUGAAUAGGCAUGUGGUAUGGUAAGUAAACCGACUCCAAAACAAUUGUAAUAGCAAUUUUUCUCCAUUUUGGAAUAUUUAAGAAAAUAGGAAAAUAAGAAGUAGUCCGGGAAGGACACGAGGCCUCCACGAGGGUGGAGGGCAUGCCCACCCCUACUGGGCGCACCCCCCUGCCUCGUGGGCACCUCGUGUGCUCUCUCGACUCUGUUUUCUUGCACGAUACUUCUUUUGGUCGGUAAAAAUUCAUUAUAUAAUCUCCCGCAGGUUUUGACCACCGUAUCAUGCAAAAAUCUUCUGUCUUUGUUUCGAGCUGUUUUUCUGACAGAUCUAGAGCAUCAUGACGUCACUCUCCUCCAACAAUGAAGACAAGGAUGCUUGGCUAUUGAAGAUAGAGCUGAAAAGAGAAGAACCGAUGGAGAUCAACAAGGAUGAAGGGAUCAAGAAGGCCAUGGAGGAUCAAGCUCCGACGGCGGAAGAAGAAAACAUCCCUCAACCUCUACCUAACCUUUUUACCCCAACUGAGAUUGAAUCUUUCAAGAUGAUUGAGUUAGCUCGUAUAAAAAACAAGUAUCUCACACAGGAAAAUAUUUUGUUGAAGGAGCAUAUCAUCGCACUCAAGGGCAUUAUCUGCAAACUGGAGGAGCUUCUACGCUCGAUGUGCGACUAUCCAUUGUCAUCAUCACCUUCUUCACCACCCCCGAGGACAUAAUCAUAUGGGUAUGGGCACUCCCCUUGGCAACUGCCAAGCUUGGGGGAGGUGUGAUAACCCUCAAGUAUACGGGAUUGUUGUAGCCUCUUUCGAUAAGUAAGAGUGUCGAACCCAAUGAGGAGCUAAAGGUAGAACAAAUACUCUCUCAAGUCCUAUCAGCCACUGAUACGACUCUACACACACUUGACGUUUGCUUUACCUAGAACAAGUAUGAAACUAGAAGUACUUUGUAGGUGUUGUUGGAUAGGUUAGCAAGAUAAUAAAGAGCACAUAAACAUAAACUAGGGGCUGUUAGGAUAAAGAGCAAGAAAGUAAAUAUAGCGAGUGUGGACAAGUGGUGGUAGGAGUUGUGAAAUUGUCCCUAAGCAAUUGACUAUGUUACUAGACCGGUAAUCACUAUUGCAAUUCUAUUUGAGGGAGAGGCAUAAGCUAACAUACUUUCUCUACUUGGAUCAUAUGCACUUAUGAUUGGAACUCUAGCAAGCAUCCGCAACUACUAGAGAUUCAUUAAGGUAAAACCCAACCAUAGCAUUAAAGUAUCAAGUCCCUUUUAUCCCAUAUGCAAACAACCUACUUACUCGGGUCUGUGCUUCUGUCACUCACGCCACCCACCAUAAGCAAAUCAUAAACAUAUUGCAAACCCUACAGCGGGAAUCCCUCACGCUUGCGCGACACGGAGGGCACAAUAGGACAGCACCAAUAAUAAAAUAUGCAACUCAAACCAAUCAUAGCAAUUCAUCAAUCACCGAUAGGACAAUGGAAAUCUACUCAGACAUCAUAGGAUGGCAACACAUCAUUGGAUAAUAAUAUGAAGCAUAAAGCACCAUGUUCAAGUAGAGGGUACAACGGGAUGCGGGAGAGUGGACCACUGAAUAUAGAUGGGGGAAGGUGAUGGAGAUGUUGGUGAAGAUGGCGGAGGUGUUGGUGAAGAUCGCGGUGAUGAUGAUGGCCCCCGGCGGCGCUCCGGCGCCACCGGAAGCAAGGGGGAGAGAGGCCCCCUUCUUCUUCUUCUUUCUUGACCUCCUCCCUAGAUGGGAGAAGGGUUUCCCCUCUGGUCCUUCACUCCCAUGGCUUGGGAGGGGCGAGAGCCCCUCCGAGAUUGGAUCUAUCUCUCUGUUUCUACGUUCUCUUCUGCUCUGUUUCACCGUCUCGCGUAUAUAUGGAGAUCCGUAACUCCGAUUGGCCUGAAACCUUCGCCGUGAUUUUUUUUCGAAUAUUAGCUUUCUUGCGGCAACAGAAGAGCGUCAACCGCCUUAUGGUGGGCUCACGAGGGUAGGGGCGCGCCCCCUACCUCGUGGCCACCUCGGGCACCGUCUCGCGUGGAUUUUUCUUCCAGAAUUUUCCAUAUUUUCCAAAAAUAAGCUCCGUCCGUUUUAUCCCAUUUGGACUCCGUUUGAUAUGGAUAUUCUGCGAAACAUAAAACAUGCAACAGACAGGAACUGGCACUGGGCACUGGAUCAAUAUGUUAGUCCCAAAAAUAAUAUAAAAAGUUGCCAAAAAGUAUAUGAAAGUGAAUAAUAUUGGCAUGGAACAAUCAAAAAUUAUAGAUACAACGGAGACAUAUCAGCAUCCCCAAGCUUCAUUCCUGCUCGUCCUCGAGUAGGUAAAUGAUAAAAAAGAUAAUUUUUGAUGUGGAAUGCUACCUAGCAUAAUCUUGAUCAUAUGUCUAAUCAUGGCAUGAAUAUUAAGACACGAGUGAUUCAAAGCUAUAGCUUAUCAUUUGACAUAAAAACAAUAAUACUUCGAGCGUACCAAUAAAGCAAUCAUGUCUUUUCAAAACAACAUGGCCAAAGAAAGUUAUCCCUACAAAAUCAUAUAGUCUGGCUGUUGCUCUAUCUUCAUCACACAAAGUAUUUAAUCAUGCACAACCCCGAUGACAAGCCAAGCAAUUGUUUCAUACUUUAAUAAUCUCAAACUUUUUCAACUUUCAUGCAAUACAUGAGCAUGAGCCAUGGAUAUAGCACUAUAGGUGGAAUAGAAUAUGAUGGUGGGGGUUAUGUGGAGAAGACAAAAAGGGAGAAAGUCUCACAUCAACUAGGCGUAUCAAUGGGCUAUGGAGAUGCCCAUCAAUAGAUAUCAAUGUGAGUGAGUAGGUAUUGCCAUGCAACGGAUGCACUAGAGCUAUAAGUAUAUGAAAGCUCAAACUGAAACUAAGUGGGUGUGCAUCCAACUUGCUUGCUCAUGAAGACCUCGGGCAUUUGAGGAAGCCCAUCAUCGGAAUAUACAAGCCAAGUUCUAUAAUGAAAAUUCCCACUAGUAUAUGAAAGUGAAAGCAUAGGAGGCUCUCUCUAUGAAGAACAUGGUGCUACUCUGAAGCAGAAGUGUGGUAAAAGGAUAGUAACAUUGCCCCUUCUCUCUUUUUCUCUCAUUUUUUUAUUUUUUUCCUUUUUUUGGUGGGCUUCUUUGGCCUCUCUUUUUUUAUUUGGGCUUCUUUGGCCUUUUUUAUUUUUCAUAAAGUCCGGAGUCUCAUCCCGACUUGUGGGGGAAUCAUAGUCUCCAUCAUCCUUUCCUCACUGGGGCAAUGCUCUAAUAAUGAUGAUCAUCACACUUUUAUUUACGUACAACUCAAUAUUUAGAACAAAGAUACGACUCUAUAUGAAUGCUUCCGGCGGUGUACCGGGAUGUGCAAUGAUGUAGCGUAGCAAUGACAUCAAAAAAGGACAAGCCAUGAAAACAUCAUGCUAUCUAUCUUACGAUCAUGCAAGGCAAUAUGACAAUGAAUGCUCAAGUCAUGUAUAUGAUAAUGAUGAUGAAAGUUGCAUGGCAAUAUAUCUCGGAAUGGCUAUGGAAAUGCCAUGAUAGGUAGGUAUGGUGGCUGUUUUGAGGAAGAUAUAAGGAGGCUUAUGUGUGAUAGAGCGUAUCAUAUCACGGGGUUUGGAUGCACCGGCGAAGUUUGCACCAACUCUCGAGGUGAGAAAGGGCAAUGCACGGUACCGAAGAGGCUAGCAAUGAUGGAAGGGUGAGAGUGCGUAUCAUCCGUGGACUCAACAUUAGUCAUAAAGAACUCAUAAACUUAUUGCAAAAAUCUACAAGCCAUUGAAAACAAAGUACUACACGCAUGCUCCUAGGGGGAUAGAUUGGUAGGAAAAGACCAUCGCUCGUCCCCGACCGCCACUCAUAAGGAAGACAAUCAAUAAAUAAAAUUGUGCUCCAACUUCAUCGCAAAGCGGUUCACCAUACGUGCAUGCUACGGGAAUCACAAACCUCAACACAAGUGUCUCUACAAUCCACAACCACCCACUAGCAUGACUCUAAUAUCACCAUCUUUAUAUCGCAAAACUAUUGCAAGGAAUCAAACAUAUCGUAUUCAGCGAUCUACAAGUUUAUGUAGGAUUUUAUGACUAACCAUGUGAAUGACCAAUUCCUGUCAUCUCUCUAAAUAGAUAUAAGUGAAGCAAGAGAGUUUAAUUCUUCCUACAAAAGAUAUGCCCACGCUCUAACAAAUAUAAGUGAAGCAAAAGAGCAUUCUACAAAUGGCGGUUUUCUAUGUGAAGAGAAACAGGCAAUCCAAACUUCAAAUGAUAUAAGUGAAGCACAUGAAGCAUUCUAUAAAGCCAUACUCAAAAGAUUUAAGUGAAGUGCAAUGAGCAUUCUAUAAAUCAACCAAGGACAAUCUCAUACCAGCAUGGUGCAUAAAAGAAAAAUGAAAACUAAAUGCAAAAGACGCUCCAAGUCUUGCACAUAAUGCAUGAACGAAACGAAAUCGAAAACAUACCGAUACUUGUUGAAGAAAGAGGGGAUGCCUUCCGGGGCAUCCCCAAUCUUAGACGCUUGAGUCUCCUUAAAUAUUUACUUGGGGUGCCUCGGGCAUCCCCAAGCUUGAGCUCUAGCCUCUCUUCCUUUUCCUCAUAUCGAGACCUCCUCGUUUAGACACUUCAUCCACACAAAACUUCAACAGAAAACUCGGUAAGAUCCGUUAGUAUAAUAAAGCAAAUCACCACUCUAAGUACUGUAGCAAACCAAUUCAUAUUUUGUUUUUGCAUUGUGUCUACUGUAAUAUAACUUUUCCAUGGCUUAAUCCACUGAUAUAAAUUGAUAGUUUCAUCAAAACAAGCAAACUGUGCAUCAAAAACAGAAUCUGUCAAAAACAGAACAGUCUGUAGCAAUCUGAACAUCCACCAUACUUGUGGUACCCCGAAAAUUCUACCAAAAUUAGGAAAAAUAAAAAAGUUGUGCCUCCAUACAGUGCAAGAGGAAUCAGAACCAAUUGACGUUCCAGAUAAAAAUGUAAAAUCGCUCACUACAGCCAAAGUUUCUGUCCUGCACCGUACAAACAACCAAGCAUUGUAAACAUCCUAAAGGCAAACCUUGGCACAUUAUUUUUAUAAUACAAUGGAAUUGUACAAGGGGAUAAUUAUUUUUGAUAAAAAGUUUCUGUAAUCAAGAUUCACAAAGUUCCCGUGAGCAUGAACAAAGUUCAAGGAGCUCUCCCACUUCAACAACGCUUGUCUUUCUUACUUUCACUUUCCUUUUUGAAAAGUUUUUUUUAGAUUCCCCUCUUUAUUUUUUUUGUUUUUAAACAAUCUGAAAGAACUCAACAGAAAUAAAUGACUCUCUAAAACUUUCGGGUUGUCUCCCUGGCAGCGCUUUUUUUAAAGCCAUUAAGCCAGGCAUUUAGUGCUCAAGUAAUGGAUCCACCCGGAUCCCAAGGUAUAUCAAAGCCAAUUUUAAUUAACAAUGAUUUGUAAUUUAGUAGUGAGCACAAAGUAACAUAUAUCAUGCAACAACGAAGUCCAACUCUCUUCCUAUGCAUCGGCAUGUCAUAAGAGAACAAUUCAUGCACACAUAGUAAAGGCUAAUGCAUAGUAUAAGCAGUUUCUUGCAAUUUCAUAGUAUGGGAAACAUAGAGAGGUGGAGAAAUAGUUCCUCUCUCAUAAUAAUUGCAAGUAGGAGCAGCAAGCACAUGCAUAUUACAUUCAUCAAAAUCAUCAUGUGCAAUGGUAAAAGGCAACCCAUCAAUAUAAUCCUUAAUAAGCACAAACUUCUCCGAUAUAGUGUGGUCGGGAGAAUUCAAAAAGAUAAUAGGACUAUCAUGCGUGGGUGCAAUAGCAACAAUUUCAUGUUUAACAUAAGGAACUAUAGCAAGUUCAUCUCCAUAAGCAUAAUUCAUAUUGGCAUCUUGGCCACAAGCAUAGCAAGCAUCAUCAAAAAGGGAUAUUUCAAACAAAUUCAAGGGAUCAUAGCAAUCAUCAUAGCAAUCAUCCUUCGGUAAGCACGAAGGGGAAUUAAAAAAUGUAUGAGUUCAAGAGUUACUCUCAUUAGAAGGUGGGCAUGGGUGAUCAAUCCGCUCUUCCUCCUUUUGUUCUUCGCUCUCCUCAUCAUCUUUUUCAUCCAAUGAGCUCAUAGUUUCAUCAAUUUCUUCUUCCAUAGCUUCCUGCAAAAUAUUAAUCUCUUCUUGGACAGCGGAGACUUUCUUCAUAAAAGCAUUAAUAUAAUAAUUGUAUUCAUAAUUUUCAUAGAAAUAUCUAAGUAUAGCAAGAUUUUCAGGCCUAUAACCAUCAUCAUCAAAAGCUUCAUACUUUUCAAACAAAGCUUCAAUUUCAUAAGCAGCCUUAAAAUCAACAAAUUCUUCUAUUUGUUCCACAUCAUAGUAAUCAUAUAUACCAUUAGCAUAAGAAGAUAGGGUUUCAUUAUCAUUAAAUUUGCAUGAAAAGGGAAGGUGUGGAGCCUCCAUCCUAGAGCAACAAGUAAUAUCAUAUCUCAAGCAUAGAUUCCAGGCAUACCAACGCAACAUAAUAAAUUGAUCCCAUAAUAGUUACCCUUUUUUUGUCGAGCGAUAAUCCCUAAAGUAUUCACGUUGAUCCAACAUGUCUCCCAUUAUAAAGUUGAAUGGGUCUUUCUCAGGAUUAUCAAAGUAGUACACAAUAUCUUUCGCAUAAUCAGAAUCGAGGGUUUUAGGAGUUACCCCAUCCUCAUGAGUAGCAAGUACAGCUAAUUUUUUUGGUAUUUUGCGUUCCAUAUCCAUAACUAAAUAUAGAGAACAACUAAGAACAGCAAAUAAAAAUUACUUAGUGAUAAAGCAAACAAGCACAAACGAGAAUAUUCACCCCACGCUAUGACUCCCCGGCAACGGCGCCAGAAAAAGGUCUUGAUAACCCGCAAGUAUACGGGAUAGUUGUAGCCUCUUUCGAUAAGUAAGAGUGUCCAACCCAAUGAGGAGUUAAAGGUAGAAAAAAUACUCUCUCAAGUCCGAUCGUCCACUGAUACGACUCUACACACGCUUGACGUUCGCUUUACCUAGAACAAGUAUGAAACUAGAAGUACUUUGUAGGUGUUGUUGGAUAGGUUAGCAAGAUAAUAAAGAGCACGUAAACAUAAACUAGGGGCUGUUAGGAUAAAGAGCAAGAAAGUAAAUAUAGCGAGUGUGGAAAAGUGGUGGUAGGAGUUGUGAAAUUGUCCCAAAGCAAUUGACUACGUUACUAGACCGGUAAUCACUAUUGCAAUUCUAUUUGAGGGAGAGGCAUAAGCUAACAUACUUUCUCUACUUGGAUCAUAUGCACUUAUGAUUGGAACUCUAGCAAGCAUCCGCAACUACUAGAGAUUCAUUAAGGUAAAACCCAACCAUAGCAUUAAAGUAUCAAGUCCCCUUUAUCCCAUACACAAACAACCUACUUACUCGGGUCUGUGCUUCUAUCACUCAUGCCACCCACCAUAAGCAAAUCAUAAACAUAUUGCAAACCCUACAGCGGGAAUCCCUCACGCUUGCACGACAUGGAGGGCACAAUAGGACAGCACCAAUAAUAAAAUAUGCAACUCAAACCAAUCAUAGCAGUUCAUCAAUCACCGAUAGGACAAUGGAAAUCUACUCAGACAUCAUAGGAUGGCAACACAUCAUUGGAUAAUAAUAUGAAGCAUAAAGCACCAUGUUCAAGUAGAGGGUACAACGGGAUGCGGGAGAGUGGACCGCUGAAUAUAGAUGGGGGAAGGUGAUGAAGAUGUUGGUGAAUAUGGUGGAGGUGUUGGUGAAGAUCGCGGUGAUGAUGAUGGCCCCCGGCGGCGCUGCGGCGCCACCAGAAGCAAGGGGGAGAGAGGCCCCCUUCUUCUUCUUCUUCCUUGACCUGCUCCCUAGAUGGGAGAAGGGUUUCUCCUAUGGUCCUUGGCUCUCAUGGCUUGGGAGGGGCGAGAGCCCCUCCGAGAUUGGAUCUAUCUCUCUGUUUCUGCGUUCUCUUCUGCUCCGUUUCACGUAUAUAUGGAGAUCCGUAACUCCGAUUGGCCUGAAACCUUCGCCGUGAUUUUUUUCUGAAUAUUAGCUUUCUUGCGGCAAAAUAAGAGCAUCAACCGCCUUACGGUGGGCUCACGAGGGUAGGGGGCGCGCCCAGGGGAGUCAGGCGCGCCCCCUACCUCGUGACCACCUCGGGCACCGUCUCACGUGGAUUUUUCUUCCGGAAUUUUCCAUAUUUUCCAAAAAUAAGCUCCAUCCAUUUUUAUCCCGUUUGGACUCCGUUUGAUAUGGAUAUUCUGUGAAACAUAAAACAUGCAACAGACAGGAACUGGCACUGGGCACUGGAUCAAUAUGUUAGUCCCAAAAAUAAUAUAAAAAGUUGCCAAAAAGUAUAUGAAAGUGAAUAAUAUUGGCAUGGAACAAUCAAAAAUUAUAGAUACGACGGAGACGUAGCAAGGUGCCCCGGUAUCGUAUCACCAUCACACUCCUAUCUCUACCAUUUUACUUAGUUCGAUCCCUUUGGUAAUAUCUAGAUCUAGUAGAAUAAAGUUUGGGUAUGGUUUAGUUUUGAGUUUUGCUUUGUGAUCCCUCUGUGUAAUUGAGUCCGUGAGCUAUAUAAUAAAGAUUAAUGUUGAGUCAAGGGCUUAGCUAUCUUGCUAUGAUCUUGAGAAAAUAGAAAGAAUAAAAGGAGAUAAAAGAGUUCAUAUUGAUCUUAUGGAUAGUAAUGACUUCACAUAUAAAGAGUAUGAGGCUUAAAAGUUGUUGGGAGUUGGCAAACAUAGUUUUGGUCAUCGUUGCAAUUAAUAGGAAGUAAUAAAGAAAGAGAGGUUCUCACAUAUAAGUAUACUAUCUUGGACAUCUUUUACGAUUGUGAGCACUCAUUAAAGUAUGACAUGCUAAAGAGUUGAUGUUGGACAAGGAAGACAACAUAAUGGGUUAUGUUUUCUCACAUCUCAGUUAAAGUAUAUUGUCAUGGAUCGUCCAACAUGCUGAGCUUGCCUUUCCCCCUCAUGCUAGCCAAACUCCUUGCACCAAGUAGAGAUACUACUUGUGCUUCCAAAUAUCCUUAAACCUAGUUUUUGCCAUGAGAGUCCACCAUACCUACCUAUGGAUUGAGUAAGAUCCUUCAAGUAAGUUGUCAUGUUACAAGCAAUAAAAAUUGCUCUCUAAAUAUGUAUGACUUAUUAGUGCGGAGAAAAUAAGCUUUAUACGAUCGUGUGAUAUGGAAGUAAUAAAAGUGAUGGACUGCAUAAUAAGGGUUCAUAUCACAAGUAGCAAUAUAAAGUGACGUUCUUUUGCAUUAAGAUUUUGUGCAUCCAACCCUAAAAGCACAUGACAACCUAUGCUUCCCUCUGCGAAGGGCCUAUCUUUUACUUGAUGUAUUUUACAUUAUGCAAGAGUCAAGGUGAUCCUCACCUUUCCCUUUUUUCAUUUUAUCCUUUGGCAAGCACCUCGUGUUGGAAAGACACUGAUAUAUAUAUCCAAUUGGAUGUAAGUUACCAUGAACUAUUAUUGUUGACAUUACCCUUGAGGUAAAACAUUGGGAGGCAACACUAUAGGCCUCUAUCUUUAUCUGUGUCCGAUUAAAACUCCAGAACCAUAAGUAUUGCGUGAGUGUUAGCUAUUGUAGAAGAGUAUAUGAUAGUUAGGUAUGUGGACUUGCUGAAAAGCUCUAUUUUUGACUCUUUCCGAUGUUAUGAUAAAUUGCAAUUGCUUCAAUGACUGAGAUUAUAGUUUGUUAGUUCCCAAUGAAGUUUAUGAUGCAUACUUGACAUUGUGAAUAGAUUGUUACUUGAGCAUAAGAAAUCAUAUGAUAAAAUCUAUAUAUGUUGCUGUUAUAAGAAUGAUGAUGAUGCCCUUAUGUCCGUAUCUUAUUUUUAUCGAUACCUCUAUCUCUAAACAUGUGGACAUAUUUUUCGAUAUCGGCUUCCGCUUGAGGACAAGCGAGGUCAAAGCUUGGGGGAGUUGAUACGUUCAUUUUGCAUCAUGCUUUUAUAUCGAUAUUUAUUGCAUUAUGGGUUGUUAUUACACGUUAUGUCAUAAUACUUAUGGCUAUUCUAUCUUAUUUUACAAGGUUUAACAUAAAGAGGGAGAAUGCCGGCAACUGGGAUUCUGGGCCGGAAAAGGAGCAAAUAUUGGAAACCUAUUCUGCACAGCUCCAAAAGUCCUGAAACUCCAAGGAAGUCAUUUUUGGAAUUAAUGAGAAUUAUUGAGCGAAAGAAGUACCAGAGGGGGCCCACACCCUGGCCACGAGGGUGGGGGCGCGCCCACCCCUACUGGGGACACCUCCCUGCCUCGUGGGCCCCCUGGUGGCCCUCCGGUGCCCAUCUUCUGCUAUAUGAAGUCUUUUACCCUGAAAAAAAAUCAUAAGCAAGGUUACGGGACGAAACUCCGCCGCUGAUACGUCCAUUUUGCAUCAUGCUUUUAUAUCAAUAUUUAUGGCAUUAUGGGCUAUUAUUACACAUUAUAUCUCAAUACUUAUGGCUAUUUUCUCUUAUUUUACAAGGUUUACCAUGAAGAGGGGGAAUGCAGGCAGCUAGAAUUCUGGCUGAAAAAGGAGCAAACAUUGGAAACCUAUUCUGCACAACUCCAAAAGGCCUGAAACUCCACGAAACCACGUUUUGGAUUUAUUAAGGAAUUAUGAGCAAAAGAAAUAGGCCAGGAGGCCCACACCCUGUCCAGGAGAUAGGGGGCGCGCCCCCCCCCAUAGGGCGUGCCCCCUAUCUCCUUGGCCCCCUGGUGGGCCUCCGGCGACCAUCUUCUGCUAUAUGAAGGGUUUUGUCCUGGAAACAUUCGUGGGCAAGCUUACGGGACGAAACUCCGCCGCCACGAGGCGGAACCUUGGCGGAAUCAAUCUAAGGCUCUGGCGGAGCUGUUCUGCCGGGGACACUUCCCUCCGGGAGGGGGAAAUCAUCACCAACGUCAUCACCAACAAUCCUCUCAUCUAGAGGGGGUCAAUCUUCAUCAACAUCUUCACCAGCACCAUCUCCUCUCAAACCCUAGUUCAUCUCUUGUAACCAAUCUUGUAUCCAAAACCACAAAUUGGUACCUGUGGGUUGCUAGUAGUGUUGAUUACUCCUUGUAGUUGAUACUUAUUGGUUUACUUGGUGGAAGAUUAUAAGUUCAGAUCCUUAAUGCAUAUUAUUACAACUCUGAUCAUGAACAUGCUUAUGCUUUGUGAGUAGUUACUUUGGUUCCUGAGGACAUGGGUGAAGUCUUGCUCUUAGUAGUCAUGUGAAUUUGGUAUUCGUUUGAUAUUUUGAUGAGAUGUAUGUUGCCUCUCCUCUAAUGGUGUUACGUGAACGUCGACUACAUGACACUUCACCAUUAUUUGGGCCUAGAGGAAGGCAUAGGGAAGUAAUAAGUAGAUGAUGGGUUGCUAGAGUGACAGAAGCUUAAACCCUAGUUUAUGCGUUGCUUCGUUAGGGGUUGAUAUGGACCCAUAUGUUUAAUGAUGUGGUUAGGUUUACCUUAAUACUCCUUUUUGUAGUUGCGGAUGCUUGCAAUAGGGGUUAAUCAUAAGUGGGAUGCUUGUCCAAGUUAGGGUAGUACCCAAGUGUUGGUCUACCCACAUAUCAAAUUAUCAAAGUACCGAACGUGAAUCUUACGAACGUGAUGAAACUAGCUUGACGAUAAUUCCCAAUGUGUCCUCGGGAGCUCCUUCAUUAUUAUUAGAAUUUGUCCAGGCUUAUCCUUUGCUAAAGGAUUGGGCCAUCUUGCUGCACCUUAUUUACUUUAUUUACUUUUGUUCGUUACUAUUUAUCUUAUCACAAAACUAUCUAUCACCUACUAUUUCAGUGCUUGCAGAGAAAACCUUACUGAAAACCGCUUAUCAUUUCCUUCUGCUCCUCGUUGGGUUCGACACUCUUACUUAUCGAAAGGACUAUGAUAUAUCACCUAUACUUGUGGGUCAUCAAGACUCUUUUCUGGCGUUGUUGCCGGGGAGCGUAGCGCUCUUGGUGAGUGGAACUUGGUAGGGAAACAUUAAUUUAGUGUGCUAAAAUUUUCUGUUACUAGUCACUAUGGAAACUAAUCCUUUGAGUGGCUUAUUUGGGGUAUCUUCACCCCAACUAGAGGAGCAAAGAGAUGUUCCUCAACCUACUAAAAUUUAUGAAAAUAUUCACUUUGAGAUUCCUUCGGGUAUGAUAGAAAAACUGCUAGCUAAUCCUUUUGCAGGAGACGGAACUUUGCGUCCCGACCUACACCUUAUCUUUGUGGAUGAAGUUUGUGGAUUAUUUAAGCUUGCAGGUAUUCCUGAGGAUGUUGUCAAAAGGAAGGUCUUCCCUUUAUCUUUGAAGGGAGAUGCAAUGACAUGGUAUAGGCUAUGUGAUGACACGAGAUCUUGGAAUUAUAAGCGAUUGGAAUUGGAAUUUCACCAGAAGUUCUAUCCUAUGCAUCUUGUUCAUCGUGAUCGUAAUUACAUAUAUAAUUUCUGGCCUCGCGAAGGAGAAAGCAUCGCUCAAGCUUGGGGAGGCUUAAGUCAAUGUUAUAUUCAUGCCCCAAUUAUGAGCUCUCUCGGGGAAUGAUUAUUCAGAAUUUUUAUGCUCGGCUUUCUCUUGAUAAUCGCAACUUGCUCGAUACUUCCUGUGCUGGUUCCUAUAUGCUGAAGACUAUUGAUUUCAAAUGGGACUUAUUGGAAAGAAUUAAACGCAACUCUGAAGAUUGGGGUUCCGACGAUGGUAAGGAGUUAGGUAUGACACCUAAGUUUGAUUGUGUUAAAUCUUUUAUGGAUACCGAUGCUUUCCGUGGAUUUAGCUCUAAGUAUGGGCUUGACUCUGAGAUAGUAGCUACUUUUUGUGAAACUUUUGCUUCUCACGUUGAUCUCCCUAAAGAGAAGUGGUUUAAAUAUAAUCCGCCUGUUGAAGUGAAAGUAGUUGCACCUAUUACAGUCGAAGAAAAGACUAUUACAUAUAGUGAUCCUAUUAUUCCUACUACUUAUGUUGAAAAACCUCCUUUUCCAGUUAGGAUAAAAGAUCAUGUUAAAGCUUCGACUGUUGUUCGUAAUAGUAAUACUAGGACUUAUACACCUCCUGAGCAAAUUAAUGUUGAACCUAGUAUUGCUACGAUUAAAGAUCUCUUGGAUGAAGACUUAGAUGGGCAUGUUAUUUCUUUCGUGGGUGAAACUGCUAAUAUUGCUAGACCCGAUACUAAGACACGUAGACCUGUUGUAGGCACGCCUGUUAUUUCUGUUAAAAUAGGAGAUCAUUGUUAUCAUGGCUUAUGUGAUAUGGGUGCUAGUGCUAAUGCUAUACCUUACGAUCUUUAUAAAGAAAUUAUGCACGAUAUUGCACCUGUUGAAUUAGAAGACAUUGAUGUUACUAUUAAGCUUGUUAAUAGGGACACAAUUAAACCUAUUGGGAUUGUUACAGAUGUUGAAGUCUUGUGUGGAAGGAUUAAAUACCCUGCUGAUUUUCUUGUUUUUGCUCGCCCACAAGAUAACUUUUGUCCCAUUAUUUUUGGUAGACCUUUCUUGCAUACUGCUAGUGCUAAGAUUGAUUGUGAAAAGAAUAUUGUCACUGUUGGUAUAGAUGGUAUGUCUCAUGAGUUUAAUUUCGCUAAGUUUAGUAGACAACAUCGUGAAAAGGAAUCAUCUAGUAAGGAUGAGAUUGUUGGUCUUGCUUCCAUUGCUGUUCCUCCAACUGAUCCGUUAGAACAAUAUUUGCUAGACCAUGAGAACGAUAUGUUUAUGAAGGAAAUGGAAGAAAUAGAUGAAGUGUUCCUUAAACAAGAACCUACGCUAAAACAUAAUCUUCCCGUUGAAAUUCUUGGGGAUCCCCCUCCACCCAAGGGUGAUCCCGUGUUUGAACUCAAACCCUUACCUGAUAAUCUCAAGUAUGCUUAUCUUGAUGAAAAAGAAAUAUAUCAUGUUAUUAUUAGUGCUAACCUUUCAGAGAAAGAAGAAGAAAGAUUAUUGGAAACUCUGAAGAAGCACCGAGCUGAUAUUGGAUAUACUCUGGAUGAUCUUAAGGGCAUUAGUCCCACAUUAUGUCAACAUAAAAUUUCAGUGGAGAAAGAUGCCAAACCUGUUAGAGAUCCUCAAAGACGAUUAAAUCCUAAAAUGAAGGAAGUGGUGAGAAAGGAGAUACUAAAACUCCUUGAGGCAGGUAUUAUUUAUCCCGUUGCUGAUAGUGAAUGGGUAAGCCUUUUCCAUUGUGUCCCUAAAAAGGGAGGUAUUACCGUUGUUCCUAAUGAUAAAGAUGAAUUGAUCCCGCAAAGAAUUAUUACAGGCUAUAGGAUGGUAAUUGAUUUCCAUAAGUUAAACAAAGCCACUAAGAAAGAUCAUUACCCUUUACCUUUUAUUGAUCAAAUGCUAGAAAUGCUAUCCAAACACACACAUUUUUGCUUUCUAGAUGGUUAUUCUGGCUUCUCUCAAAUACCUGUGUCAGCGGGCGAUCAACCUAAAACUACUUUUACCUGCCCUUUUGGUACUUUUGCUUAUAGACGUAUGCCUUUUGGUUUAUGUAAUGCACCUCCUACUUUUCAAAGAUGCAUGAUGGCUAUAUUUUCUGGUUUUUGUGAAAAGAUUUGUGAGGUAUUCAUGGAUGACUUCUCCGUCUAUGGAUCCUCUUUUGAUGAUUGUUUGAGCAACCUUGAUCGAGUUUUGCAGAAAUGCGAAGACACUAGUCUCGUCCUGAGUUGGGAAAAGUGUCACUUUAUGGUUAAUGAAGGCAUUGUCUUGGGGCACAAGAUCUCUGAGAGGGGUAUCGAAGUUGAUAAAGCCAAAGUUGAUGCUAUUGAAAAGAUGCCAUGUCCCAAGGACAUAAAAGGUAUAAGAAGUUUCCUUGGUCAUGCAGGUUUUUAUAGGAGGUUCAUUAAGGACUUUUCUAAAAUCUCUAGGCCUCUGACUAAUUUAUUGCAAAAAGAUAUUCCUUUUGUCUUUGAUGAUGAUUGUGUAGACACAUUUGAAACACUUAAGAAAGCUUUAAUCACAGCACCUAUUGUUCAGCCACCUGAUUGGAAUUUACCUUUUGAAAUUAUGUGUGAUGCUAGUGAUUAUGCUUUAGGUGCUGUUUUAGGGCAAAGAGUCGAUAAGAAAUUGAAUGUUAUCCAUUAUGCUAGUAAGACUCUUGAUACUGCCCAGAGAAAUUAUGCUACCACUGAAAAAGAAUUCUUAGCAGUUGUGUUUGCAUGUGAUAAGUUUAGACCUUAUAUUGUUGAUUCCAAAGUUACUAUUCACACUGAUCAUGCUGCUAUUAAAUAUCUUUUGAAAAAGAAAGAUGCCAAACCUAGACUCAUUAGAUGUGUUCUCUUGCUCCAAGAAUUUGACUUGCAUAUUAUUGAUAGAAAGGGAGCUGAGAACCCCGUUGCAGACAACUUGUCUAGGUUAGAGAAUGUUCUUGAUGACCCACUGCCUAUUAAUGAUAGUUUUCCUGAUGAACAAUUAGCGGUUGUCAAUGCUUCUCGUACUGCUCCUUGGUAUGCUGACUAUGCUAAUUACAUUGUUGCUAAAUAUAUACCGCCUAGUUUCACAUACCAGCAAAAGAAAAAGUUAUUUUAUGAUUUAAGACAUUACUUCUGGGAUGAUCCACACCUUUAUAAAGAAGGAGUAGAUGGUAUUAUUAGACGUUGUGUGCCUGAGCAUGAACAGGAACAAAUCCUACGCAAGUGUCACUCUGAAUCCUAUGGAGGACACCACGCUAGAGAUAGAACUGCACACAAGGUACUACAAUCUGGUUUUUAUUGGCCUACUCUUUUCAAAGAUGCCCGUAAGUUUGUCGUAUCCUGUGAUGAAUGCCAAAGAAUAGGUAACAUUAGUAGACGUCAAGAAAUGCCUAUGAAUUAUUCUCUUGUUAUUGAACCGUUUGAUGUCUGGGGCUUUGAUUACAUGGGACCUUUUCCUGCCUCCAAUGGUUAUACUCAUAUUUUAGUUGCUGUUGAUUAUGUUACUAAGUGGGUAGAAGCUAUUCCAACUAGUAGUGCUGAUCAUAACACUUCUAUUAAAAUGCUUAAAGAAGUUAUUUUUCCGAGGUUCGGAGUCCCUAGAUAUCUUAUGACUGAUGGUGGUUCACACUUUAUUCAUGGUGCUUUCCGUAAGAUGCUUGCUAAAUACGAUAUCAAUCAUAGAAUUGCAUCUCCUUAUCACCCGCAGUCUAGUGGUCAAGUAGAGUUGAGCAAUAGAGAGCUCAAAUUAAUUUUGCAAAAGACUGUGAAUAGAUCUAGAAAGAAUUGGUCCAAAAUACUUGAUGAUGCAUUAUGGGCCUAUAGAACUGCAUACAAAAAUCCUAUGGGUAUGUCUCCAUAUAAGAUGGUUUAUGGAAAAGCAUGCCAUUUACCUCUUGAACUUGAACAUAAAGCAUAUUGGGCUAUUAAAGAGCUCAAUUAUGACUUCAAACUUGCCGGUGAGAAAAGGUUGUUUGAUAUUAGCUCACUUGAUGAAUGGAGAGCCCAAGCUUAUGAGAAUGCCAAGCUCUUCAAAGAAAAAGUCAAACGCUGGCAUGAUAAAAGGAUACAAAAGCGUGAGUUUAACGUAGGAGAUUAUGUGUUAUUAUUCAACUCUCGUUUAUGAUUUUUUGCAGGAAAACUUCUCUCAAAAUGGGAAGGUCCCUAUGUUAUCGAGGAGGUCUACCGUUCCGGUGCUAUAAAAAUUAACAACUUUGAAGGCACAAAUCCUAGGGUGGUUAAUGGUCAAAGAAUCAAGCAUUAUAUUUCAGGUAACCCUAUCAAUGUUGAAACUAAUAUUAUUGAAACCAUAACCCCAGAGGAGUACAUAAGAGACACUUUCCAGAACGUCCCAGACUCCGAAAAGGCAUAGGUACGUGGUACGGUAAGUAUACCGACUCCAAAACAACUCUAAAGGCAAUUUUCAUCAGUUUUGGAUUAUUUAAGAAUUUUAGGAAGAAAUAAGUAGUCCGAAAGGGACACGAGGCUCCCACGAGAGAGGAGGGCGCCCCCCUGUAGGGCGCGCCCCUUGUCUCGUGGGCACCUCGUGUGCCUCCCGGACUCCGUUUUCUUGUAUGUUACGUAUUUUGGUCGGUAAAAAUUCAUUAUAUAUAUUCCGAAGGUUUUGGCCACCGUAUCACGCAAAUAUCCUCUAUUUUCGUUUUGAGGUUUCAGAUCUAGAGCAUCAUGUCAUCUUCCAGCGCUCCCAAGGACCAGUUUUUUGAGAGGGUGAUCAACCCUAUCUUGCGGAGGUGCUGCAUCAUCCCCAAACCAUUGAGGUGCGUGAGGGGGUGUUGCACAUCCGCGAUGUGGAAGGACCAAGGCGUACCGGGAGCAUAGAGACAAAACUCGAAGCCAUGGAACAAGAAGUUUUCAAGUGCCAAGGGAUGGUGGAGCGUGGACUCAACGCCAACCAGAUGAUGAUCACGGAGUUCACCAACAACCACAAGUUGGAUGCCAAAGAUGUUGGGGAGACCAUCUUCAAGCUUCAAGAGAAAAUCGAGCACCUCCAAGCCCAGGUUUAUGACCUGCAAAACCAGAACUGUGAGUAUGAAUAUAGAUUCAAGCGAAUGAGUUUGGCUGCAGAUUUAAGGAUCCCGGAGACUCAAUUGUCCUUCUAUGAUGGAGAGCCUAUGCCUUGGAAGAUGGAUGACAAGCCUACUCCAUCAACAACUCUUACUUCACCACCUCCGAAGAAAUAUUCACAUGGGUAUGGGCACUCCCCUUGGCAACUGCCAAGCUUGGGGGAGGUGCCCCAAUAUCGUACCACCAUCACACUCCUAUCUUUACCGCUUUAUUUAGUUCGAUCCUUUUAGUAGUAUCUUGAUCUAUUAGUUCGAAGUUUUAGUAUCAAGUAGUUUUUGAGUUUUGCUUUGUGAUCUCUUUUUGUAAGCGAGUAUGUGUGCUAUCUAUAAUAAAGAUUAGUGUUGAGUCAAGGGCUUUGCUAUGUUACUAUGAUCUUGAGAAAGUAGAAAGAACAAAAGAGUUCAUAUUGAUCUUAUGGAUAGUGAUAACUUCACACAUAGAAAGUAUGAGGCAUAAAAGAUGUUGAGAGUUGAUGAACGUAGCCUUGGUCAUCGUUGCAAUUAAUAGGAAGUGAUAAGGAAAGAGGGGUUCACAUAUAGAUAUAUUAUCUUGGGCAUCCUUUAUGAUUGUGAAGCACUCAUUAAGUAUGACAUGCUAAAAUAAUUGAUGUUGGACAAGGAAGACAACGUAAUGGUUUAUGUUUUGCGACAUCUCAGUUAAAAUAUAUUGUCAUUGACCUUCUGAACAUGUUGAGCUUGCCUUCCCCCCUCAUGCUAGCCAAAACUCCUUGCACCAAGUAGAGAUACUACUUGUGCUUCCAAACUCCCUUAAACCCAGUUUUGCCAUGAGAGUCCACCAUACCUACCUAUGGAUUGAGUAAGAUCCUUCAAGUAAGUUGUCAUCGGUGCAAGCAAUACAAAUUGCUCUCUAAAUAUGCAUCACUUAUUAAUGCAGAGAAAAUAAGCUUUGUAGGAACUUGUUGUGGAAGUAAUAAAAGCGACAGAGUGCAUAAUAAAGGUCCACAUACAAGGGGCAAUACAAAGUGACGUUCUUUUGCAUUAAGAUUUUGUGUAUCCAACCCUAAAGCGCAUGACAACCUCUGCUUCCCUCUGCGAAGGGCCUAUCUUUUACUUUAUGUAUUUACUUUAUGCUUGAGUCAAGGUGAUCCUCACCCUUCCACUUUUUCAUUUUAUCCUUUGGCAAGCUCCUCGUGUUUGAAAGGUCAUGAUACAUAUAUCAAAUUGAAUGUAAGUUGGCAUAGGCUAUUAUUGUUGACAUCACCUAAAGGUGAAUAUGUUGGGAGGCAACAUAAUAAGCCCCUAUCGUUCUCAGUGUCCGGCUGAAACUCUAUAACCACAAGUAUUGAGUGAGUGUUAACAAUUAUGGGGGACUACGAGAUAGUUGAGUAUGUGAUCUUGCUGAAAAGCUCUACUAUUGACUCUUUCUGAUGUUACGAUAAAUUGCAAUUGCUUCAAUGAGUGAGAUAAUAGUUUGUUAGUUCCCAAUGAAGUUUAUGAACCAUACUUGACAUUGUGAAUUGCUUAUUACUUGAACAUAGAAAAUCAUAUGACAAAAUCUAUAUAUAUGCUGCUGUUAUUAGAAUGAUCAUGAUGCCCUCAUGUCCGUAUUUUAUUUUUAUCGACACCUCUAUCUCUAAACAUGUGGUCAUAUUUCUCGAUCUCGGUUUCUGCUUGAGGACAAGCGAGGUCUAAGCUUGGGGGAGUUGAUACGUCCAUUUUGCAUCAUGCUUUUAUAUCAAUAUUUAUGGCAUUAUGGGUUGUUAUUACACAUUAUAUCUCAAUACUUAUGGCUAUUCUCUCUUAUUUUACAAUGUUUACCAUGAAGAGGGGGAAUGCCGGCAGCUGGAAUUCUGGCUGAAAAAGGAGCAAACAUUGGAAACCUAUUCUGCACAACUCCAAAAGUCCUGAAACUCCACGAAACCACUUUUUGGAUUUAUUAAGGAAUUAUGAGCAAAAGAAAUUGGUCAGGGGGCCCACACCCUGUCCAGGAGACAGGGGACGCCCCCCCAUAGGGCGCGCCCCCUAUCUCCUUGGCUCCCUGGUGGGCCUCCGGAGACCAUCUUCUGCUAUAUGAAGGGUUUUGUCCUGGAAAAAUUCGUGGGCAAGCUGACGGGACGAAACUCCGCCGCCACGAGGUGGAACCUUGGCGGAAUCAAUCUAGGGCUCUGGCGGAGCUGUUCUGCCGGGGACACUUCCCUCCGGGAGGGGGAAAUCAUCACCAACAUCAUCACCAAUGAUCCUCUCAUCGAGAGGGGGUCAAUCUUCAUCAACAUCUUCACCAGCACCAUCUCCUCUCAAACCCUAGUUCAUCUCUUGUAUCCAAUCUUGUAUCCAAAACCACAAAUUGGUACCUGUGGGUUGCUAGUAGUGUUGAUUACUCCUUGUAGUUGAUACUUAUUGGUUUACUUGGUGGAAGAUUAUAUGUUUAGAUCCUUAAUGCCUAUUAUUACACCCAUGAACAUGCUUAUGCUUUGUGAGUAGUUACUUUGGUUCCUGAGGACAUGGGUGAAGUCUUGCUAUUAGUAGUCAUGUGAAUUUGGUAUUCGUUCGAUAUUUUGAUGAGAUGUAUGUUGUCUCUCCUCUAGUGGUGUUAUGUGAACGUCGACUACAUGACACUUCACCAUUAUUUGGGCCUAGAGGAAGGCAUAGGGAAGUAAUAAGUAGAUGAUGGGUUGCUAGAGUGAUAGAAGCUUAAACCCUAGUUUAUGCGUUGCUUCGUUAGGGGUUGAUAUGGACCCAUAUGUUUAAUGCUGUGGUUAGGUUUACCUUAACACUCCUUUUUGUAGUUGCGGAUGCUUGCAAUAGGGGUUAAUCAUAAGUGGGAUGCUUGUCCAAGUUAGGGCAGUACCGAAGUGUUGGUCUACCCACAUAUCAAAUUAUCAAAGUGCCGAACGCGAAUCUUACGAACGUGAUGAAACUAGCUUGGCGAUAAUUCCCAAUGUGUCCUCGGGAGCUCCUUCAUUAUUAUUAGAAUUUGUCCAGGCUUAUCCUUUGCUACAUAAAGGAUCGGGCCAUCUUGCUGCACCUUAUUUAAUUUAUUUACUUUUGUUCGUUACUAUUUAUCUUAUCACAAAACUAUCUAUCACCUACUAUUUCAGUGCUUGCAGAGAAAACCUUACUGAAAACCGCUUAUCAUUUCCUUCUGCUCCUCGUUGGGUUCGACACUCUUACUUAUCGAAAGGACUAUGAUAGAUCCCCUAUACUUGUGGGCAUGGGUGAAGUCUUGCUAUUAGUAGUCAUGUGAAUUUGGUAUUCGUUCGAUAUUUUGAUGAGAUAUAUGUUGUCUCUCCUCUAGUGGUGUUAUGUGAACGUCGACUACAUGACACUUCACCAUUAUUUGGUCCUAGAGGAAGGCAUUGGGAAGUAAUAAGUAGAUGAUGGGUUGCUAGAGUGACAGAAGCUUAAACCCUAGUUUAUGCGUUGCUUCAUAAGGGGUUGAUUUGGAUCCACUAGUUUGAUGCUAUGGUUAAGUUUACCUUAAUACUUCUUUUGUAGUUGUGGAUGCUUGGAAUAGGGGUUAAUCUUAAGUGGGAUGCUUGUCCAAGAAAGGACAGCACCCAAGCACUGGUCUACCCACAUAUCAAAUUAUCAAAGUAACGAACGCGAAUCAUAUGAGCGUGAUGAAAACUAGCUUGACGAUAAUUCCCAUAUGUUGUCGGGAGCGGUUUUCUCAUUAUAAGAAAUUGUCCAGGCUUGUCCUUUGCUACAAAAAGGAUUGGGCCACCUUGCUGCACUUUAUUUACUUUCAUUGCUUGUUACCCAUUACAAAUUAUCUUAUCACAAAACUAUCUGUUACCUACAAUUUCAGUGCUUGUAGAGAAUACCUUACUAAAAACCGCUUGUCAUUUCCUUCUGCUCCUCAUUGGGUUCGACACUCUUACUUAUCGAAAGGACUAUGAUAGAUCCCUAUACUUGUGGGUCAUCAGGGACAUCUAUGCGAUAGAGCCAGUCACCCCAAAAUUCAACCCAUGGUUAGCAUGCCCGAUCACUUUCGAUCGCAGAGACCAUCCGACCAGUAUCCGUCAUGGAGGUUCAGCCGUGUUGGUCCUUGACCCAAUUAUCGAUGGAUUCCACCUCACGAGAGUCCUCAUGGACGGUGGCAGCAGUCUUAACCUACUCUAUCAGGACACAGUCCGCAAAAUGGGUAUUGACUCAUCAAGAAUCAAGCCCACCAAAACUACCUUCAAAGGAGUAAUACCUAGUGUAGAGGCCCGCUGCACGUGCUCAAUCACAUUGGAGGUCGUCUUCUGUUCGGCAGACAACUUCCUAAGCGAAGACUUGAUCUUCGACACCUUCCCUUUCCACAGUGGCUAUCAUGCACUACUCGGACGAACUGCGUUUGCCCGCUUCAACGUGGUCCCGCAUUAUGCUUAUGUAAAACUCAAGAUGCUAGGACCACGCGGUGUUAUAACAGUCCAUGGAAACAUGGAUCGCUCCCUCCGUACUAAGGAACAUACCGCGGCCCUCGCAGCGGAAGUGCAGGUCGGCCUUGUCAAGCCAAACUCCACAGCGGCACACAAUCCCCCGAAUUCUGUUAAAUGAGUCCUGACUACCCGGCAGAAUGACAGUCCAGCUCGUUAGGAGCUCGAUUAGCAUUUCAGCCUCUGUCUUAGCCCCAGCCAAACUGCGGCAAAUGUACCGCGUGCACAUAACUACGCACUAAAGGUUCCUUACAACCCACAUCACCUUUUUAUGGUGUCAAGGUGUAAGACAAUAGGCUUUGGGGGGAACCGGCACAACCCUCUAGGGGUGGCCUAUCACAUAUAUAUAUAAUGAGGUGGUAUACAAUGUUACACUAUACACAUGUAAAUACAGUCUAACACCCUCCCUCAAUCUUAGCCACUUUCUAAUGAAUCUAGAAGGGUAAGAUUGCGCCUGCAAGUCUCAAACUGUGGCAAAGGCAAUGGCUUGGUGAAGAUGUCAGCAAGUUGAUCCUUGGAAGAAAUAAACUUGAUCUGUAGUUGCUUCUGAGAGACACGUUCACGCACAAAGUGAUAGUCAACUUCAAUGUGUUUCGUUCGGGCAUGGAAUACCGGAUUUGCAGAAAGGUAUGUAGCACCGAUGUUAUCACACCAAAGAACAGGAGGCUGUGAUUGGGGUAUACUUAACUCCUGAAGCAAGGACUGUACCCAGAUGAUCUCUGAUGUGGCAUUGGCCACAGCCUUAUACUCAGCCUCAGUACUGCUACGCGAGACAGUAGCCUGUUUCCGAGCACUCCAGGCAAUCAGGUUAGAGCCAAAGAAGACAGCAUAACCCCCCGUGGAUCGCCUGUCAUCCGGAUUGCCAGCCCAGUCUGCAUCAGAAUAUGCUGAAAGACAACCAGAGUCAGACGGCCGUAUAUGCAAACCAUGAGCCACCGUGAAACGAAUAUAGCGCAAAAUCUGCUUAACAGCAGACCAAUGAGUGUCACGGGGUGACUGCAGAUACUGGCAGACUCGGUUAACAGCAUAGGAAAUGUCUGGUCGCGUGAUCGUCAAGUACUGGAGCCCACCAACAAUACUCCUGUACUCUGUCGCAUCAGAAGAAGAAAGAAGCACACCAUCAACAGCAUUGAGCUUAUCAGUGGUAGAAAUGGGUGUAGUCGUCGGUUUGCACUUAAGCAUCCCAGCUCGCUGCAACAAAUCCAGAGAAUACUUCUUCUGCGUCAUAACAAGGCCAGCAGCACGAGAAGUAACCUCCACACCAAGAAAGUAAUGAAGCUUCCCAAGGUCCUUGACCGCAAAAUCAGCACCAAGUGAGCGAACAAGCGCAGUAGCAGCCAACUGAGAGGAGCUGACCAAAAUGAUAUCAUCUACAUAGACCAACAAGUACAUAGUAACCUCAGGCCUUUGAAGAAGAAACAAUGAGGAGUCAGCAGUUGAUGAUGCAAAACCAUGAGCACGAAGAGCCAUUGCAAGACGAGCAUGCCAAGCACGAGGAGCCUGCUUCAGACCAUAAAUUGCCUUGGACAGACGACAGAGAUGAUCAGGGCGAUCCGGAUCAGAGAAACCCGGAGGCUGGCGCAUGUAAACCUCCUCCGCCAAGACACCAUGAAGAAAAGCAUUUUGAACAUCAAGCUGACGAAGAAACCAACCUCGAGUAACAGCCAGAGAGAGAAGAAGUCUGAUGGUAGUAGGCUUGACCACUGGACUGAAGGUGUCUUCAUAGUCAAGUCCAAAACACUGUCGAAAACCACGAGCAACCAGACGAGCCUUAUAACGCUCAAUGGACCCAUCAGAAUGCCUCUUCACUUUGAAAACCCAUUUGGAAUCAAUGACAUUUACCCGUGAUUGUGGAGGAACAAGAGUCCAUGUCUGAUUGCGAAGAAGCGCUUGAUACUCCUGCUCCAUGGCCUCUCUCCAAUGAGGAAUGCGCAUAGCAGCUUGAUACGUGCGUGGCUCAGAGGAUGGAUCUGCGAGAGCAGCAGACAUGCACGCCGCUAACCAAGCAACUAUGCCAUCGUGACGUUGCUUAGGCUGAAAAAUGCCACUCCGACUGCGCGUAUGUGGACGUAGAGCAGCAGCAGGAGCGGGCGGAGGCGAAGGUGACGGAGACGUAACGGUCGCCGGAGAUGCAGGAAUCACCUCAUGCGAGCUCGGGACAGACGACUCCGGGCUGCAUGGCGAAGACUGGCCCGACGACAGGGGCUCAGAGGCCAUGGGCGAACCGAGAGUGGGCGAGGCCAGCUCCGGUGACACCGAUCCAGACGGCCUUGGCGAGGCGAGAGCAGGCGAGGCCGGCCCUGGUGAGAAGGGCCCAGACACCCUGGGCGAGGCAGGGGCGGGCGAGGCCAGGCCUGGUGAUGACUGUCCCGACGCCCUGGGCGAGACGGGGACCAAGGAGGCCGGCCCAGUCGGCGGGGUUGCAGGGCGCGACGAUGGCGAAGGCAGCCCAGAAGCCAGAGGCGACCGGGCCAGGACGUCGAUCGGCCGUGCAUGAGCACGGAAACCGAGGCCAUGCAGGGGAGCCAUGUGCUCCUCAUGCACAACAGAAGGUGCCGAGGAUGAAGGCGAUGGCGACGAAGAGGAAGAUGGCACUUCCAGAAUCUCCAAACGAGCCCCACGACCAGUGCCUGCACCAUGGUUAGGCAACAAUAGAGGAGAAUAUGCAACAUCAUCAAAUUGGUCAGAAGCAAUAGAGGAUGAAUGCAUGACAGGUGGCUCGGUAGUGGACACAGGGAGUUUGGCAAAGGGAAAGACAUGCUCAUCAAACACAACAUCCCGAGAGAUGUAGACACGAUUAGUGGGCACAUGAAGACAUUUGUAUCCUUUAUGAAGAGAGCUAUAACCAAGAAAAACACACUUCUUGGAACGAAAAUCGAGCUUACGCUUGUUAUAUGGACGGAGAUGGGGCCAGCAAGCACACCCAAACACCUUGAGAAAGGUGUAGUACGAUUGUUCAUUAAGGAGAACUUCAAUGGGAGUCUUCAUAUUCAAAACACGAGUGGGAGUACGAUUGAUGAGAAAACAUGCAGUGGUGAAAGCAUCACUCCAAAAACGAAACGGAACAGAUGCAUGGGCCAAAAGAGUCAGACCAGCUUCAACAAUGUGACGAUGCUUACGUUCUACUGAACCAUUCUGCUGAUGUGUAUGUGGACAUGCUAAACGGUGAGUGAUCCCAAGCGACUGAAAGAAGGAGUUGAGGUUGCGAUACUCGCCACCCCAGUCCGACUGAACAUGAACAAUUUUGUGCUUGAGAAGGCGUUCAACAUGUUUUUGGAACUGAACAAAAAUGUCAAACACAUCAGAUUUACGUUUGAUAAGAUAAAGCCAGGUAAAGCGGCUGUAAGCAUCAACAAAACUGAUAUAGUAAUUAUGACCACUAACAGAAGUCUGAGCAGGACCCCAUACAUCUGAAAACACAAGUUCUAAAGGAUGUUUCACCGCACGACUGGACUCCGAAAAAGGAAGUUGAUGACUCUUCCCCUGCUGACAAGCAUCACACACUGCUACAUCUUUAUUACUAGACACACUAGGAAGCUCAUGACGACGCAAAACAUGCCGGACAAUAGGUGUGGCCGGGUGACCAAGACGAGCAUGCCACUGUGACGGAGAUACCCGAACUCCACUGAAGACGCGAGCGACGCCAGGAUGCUCCAGACGAUAGAGACCUUGGCAGAGCCGCCCACUAAGAAGAAUGUCCCUCGUGCCCCGAUCCUUAAUAAAAAGAUCAAAAGGAUGAAAUUCACAAAGCACAUUAUUAUCACGAGUGAGUUUAGGAACUGAAAGAAGAUUACGUGUCACAGAUGGAACUCGAAGAACAUUGCGAAGUUGAAGACUCCUAUUGGCAUGUCUAGUGAGAAGUGAUGCUUGACCAAUAUGAGAGAUGUGCAUACCUGCUCCAUUGGCGGUGUGGAUCUUGUCGGAUCCAUGGUAGGGUUCACGAGUGUGAAGCUUCCCCAUCUCAUUGGUCAGGUGCUCUGUCGCCCGAGAGUCCAUGUACCAGUGGGGAUCAAUGGAGUAGGACUGAGUGUGUCCCUGUGGCUUCUGCGGCGGCGGACGAUCAGCCAUGGCGACCUGACGAGCAAAGUUGCGUGUAUCCUUCCCGUCAUUGCCGAGACCAAGAAAACCCCGAUGGAAGCGCUUGUGACACUUCAAGGCCCAGUGCCCAUCGCGACCACAAAGCUGGCACACACGUGGACCGCCAGCCCCUGGUAGCGUCGCAGUAGGAGGAGGGGCCGAGGCGGGUGGUGGUGACUGCCCCGAAGGAGCCCUGGAUGAAGCAGAGGAGCGACCACCCUUGGUGGCGGCGUUUGCCGAGAGGGCGCCGUUGCCCCUGGAUCGGCGUGUCUCGACUCGUUGCUCAGUAAGCACGAGGCGUGAAAAGACCUCGUGUGCUGGCAUGGGCGUGGAGUUGCCCCUCUCAUUGAUGAUCUCGACUAGGGCGUCAUACUCCUCAUCAAGACCAUUGACAAUAAACGAGUUGAACUCGGAGUCGGUGAGGGGCUGUCCAAUGGAGGCCAGCGUGUCGGCGAGACUCUUGACUUUGUUGUAGAACUCAGUGGCGGUGGAGUCAAGCUUCUGACACUCCCCAACUUGGCGACGGAGCCCAGAUACACGAGCCUGCGACUGUGCCGCAAACGAGCGCUCAAGAAUAGUCCAUGCCUCGUGGGACGUCUUGGCGAAGACAACAAGCCCAGCAACGGCCGGAGAGAGCGACCCCUGGAUGGAGGAGAGGUUCGCCUGAUCCUGCCCUGUCCAGACACGGUGAGCCGGAUUAUAGACCGGGCCGUGCACGCUGUCAACCAGCGCAGGAGGGCAAGGGAGAGAGCCGUCGACAUAGCCAAGAAGAUAGUGACUCCCAAGAAGCGGAAGAACCUGCGCGCGCCAGAAGAUGUAAUUGUCCGACGACAACUUGAUGGUGAUGAGAUGGACGAAGUGAAACGGCGGUGGCGGCUGCGAUCCCAUCGAGGAGACUGGCUGAGGUGAGACCACCGUGGAGACAGUCAGAGGGGCAGCCGGCGCGGUGACAGAGGGCGCGAUGGCCGCGGUUGAUGCCGCGAAGCCUGCCAGCGCGACGUCCUCCGCCACCAGCGGCGUAGUGGCCGAGGGCGCGACAGCCGCGGUUGACGGGGCGGCGGCGGUGUGGGCCACAAGCGCCUGCCCGGGCGAAGUAGCAGCCGGCGGGAGCGCGAAGAGGGAGCCGACGCUCCGUGUCCCGAUCGGCGCCUGAAGGGAGGCGGCAUCCAACGGCCUCGAGAGAAGUGCCGCGAGGGAGGCCGGCAGAAAACCGGUGACGGUGGAGCCGGACGCAGCGGCGGACGUCAUAGCAGUCGGGCGACGGCGACGGCGGGCGCGGCGGCGGCGGCGGUGGCGGCGGCGGCGGCGGCGGCGGUUUAGGGUUUUUAGGCGGAAGCGGACGUAACCUAGCGUGAUACCAUGUAAGACAAUAGGCUUUGGGGGGAACCGGCACAACCCUCUAGGGGUGGCCUAUCAUAUAUAUAUAAUGAGGUGGUAUACAACGUUACAAUAUACACAUGUAAAUACAGUCUAACACAAGGGCCCUUUUCCCGUCCCCUUAUGAAACUUGUUCAUCAAUCCUCUUAAAGGAUCACACACCAAGGCGAAAGGCACCGCAGAUGCACGGCAGCGUACCUCAAGGAUCUUCAAAAGAUCACCUCUUCCCCUUUUUUAGCAUUUGUACACAACUUUCCCUUGUGCUCGGCAUGUAAAAUAGCCUUGAUGCUUAUCGGAUUAUCUGUUCAAAUACAUUUUGACGUAUCAAUCAGACUAUAAUGGAAACUAUUUUUUUGCCCAACCUAUUCGGUACUGGCUCCUUUCCUAAUCUGUAUUUCCCUCCUUUUCGCCUGAUAGUAAUGUACACCUCGGCACGACUUAAAUCGCCAGGGGCUCUAUUCAGCCACGCACAUCUAUCAACAAUAACAUAAGUCCUAACACUUCAUAUAGUACAAUCCAGCGCCCCGAAUAUAGCAUUAUAUGUGUUGGCUCCGAAUCAUGUCUUUGGUCAAUAGUUGGGUUGCCCGGCUCAUGUGGUUACUACCUUAAUUUCCGCUUGUUCGGCUAAGGUAGUAAAGGGAGAACUACUACGAUUGUGUUUAUGGCUCAUCGGGAUAAACACCUCAGUAGAGAAAGCCGAAAACUGACUAUCAUGAUGCGGCGAGAGCUGAUCAACUAUUCGGUGACUAAUUAAAAAUCUCUUGCGAUUUUUUCCAAAUUAUGAGACGAACCGGUCUUCACCGGGACAUGCGUCUAUAGCACCCAUGUUCGGACCAUCGAACAAUACCAGGGGCUGUGCCUACAAUCUUAUUGUCAAACUCCUAUGUCUAAGUGAGAGUGCUAAAGCCGCAUAGUCUGAUUGCCUGGUUCGUCGCACUAACACCUCCUUCAAGGACCAAGUCAUUUGGAUCAAGCGUGUUUUUGUGCUGUUCCGAACACCCCCGUACUACCUAUGCGAGGGGCUGAAGCCGAUGACUGGCCAACUCUCAGAUUCCAUAAACGUCCGCAAAGGAGGUAAAAUAAUUUCAGAUGAAACAAGAAAAUUAUUAUACAAACGACUUGUUUUCAUAAAUACAAAGUUUGGCCAACACAGAUACAAUCAUUCAAAAAAGAUGUCCUUCAAACACUGGCCCUCCACAAUGCGGGAUCCUUCCAGGACGUCAUUGAAAUACCGCUCCGACGUUUGGUGCUCCUUGCCAGCGGGCGGUCCCUCGGUUGCAAGAUUGGUGGCAUUCAUCUUCGCCCAGUGCACCUUGACACGGGCGAAGGCCAUCCGGGCACCUUCGAUACAGACCGAUCGCUUUAUAGCGUCAAGCCGUGGGCAAGCAUCCACUAGCCUCUUCACAAGACCAAAGUAGCUACUGGGUAUGGGUUCGGCUGGCCAAAGACGGACUAUAACAUCCUUCAUGGCUAGUUCGGCCACCCUAUGUAGCUCAGUCAGCUGUUUUAGCUGAUCACUGAGGGGCACAGGAUGCUCUGGCACAAGAUACUACGACCAGAACAGCUUCUCUGUUGAGCUCCCCUCUUUGGCUCAGAAGAAAUCCGUAGCAUCAGAAAUACUUCGGGGUAGAUCCGCAAACGCCCCUGGAGAACUCGAAAUGUGUGUGAGUAAGGUGUACUGUCUCCUUACAAAUUUUCUCUGCAUAUCAAAGGCCUUACCCGCCGCAAUCUGCUUGACCUCUCGGAUCUCCCGAUAGGCGUUUUGGGCUUCAACCCGGGCCUCCUUCGCACUUUGGAGCGCCGUAGCAAGUUUGGAGUCUCGAUCCAACACCGUGCGCUCCAAGGACUCACAUUUGCUUAUAGCAUCCGUGAGCUCUUGUUGGACUUCAUCCAACCUUGCUUCAUGUUUCCGGUGGGUGGCUCGCUCCUUGUCCGCCUCCUUCUUGGCCUCGACCAGUGCACUCUUGAGGGCCUCGACCUCAGAUGCAUCAACUAUGAGCAAAAUGAUAAAGCUCAUUUAAAUAACAAAUUGGAACUCAUAUCAUUUAAUAUACGCUUCGGUAUCACAUACCUUGCUUUUCCUCCAACUGCCGCUUUAGUUCGGAUAGUUCGGCGGCAUGCAAGGUUGCCGCUAGCAUCAAAGCAUGUUCAUCAAAAGAGACAUAUAUGUUAGCUCCUGCGAAGCAUUAUUCAAUCCUUUGUUCGGCCUUUCUUAGUGAACGCCGAACAGAGUCUCAGGGGCUACUAACUAUACACAUGCAUUCCUUAUGCAAACAGCCAAAAUAUGUCACGUCACAUACCUCAAAGCCUGUUAAAAGGCUGGUAUAGGCUUGGUUCAAUCCGUUUUUAGCAAUACCAAACCUUUUCAACCACCGUACCCAUAAGGGUACGGUGCUCCUCCAUGAUGGAGGCGCUCUGAAGCGCUUCCACAAGAGUGUCUGGCGCCUCCGGAUUGAUAGAGGAUGCUAGUGGAGAUGGCACGCCCCCUUCUUUCAAAGGAGGUUGCUCGCUCAAUUUCGGAGACAUAUGGGUCUCCGGAAUAAUAUUCGAUUGGGGGCCGAAUUGAGCUUGGCCCCCAUCGCCGGUCUCCAUGGGGUCGAUUUCCCCCUCUUUUCGGCAACAGAGGUAUUUCCCUCCGUCGCCACUGUUGAUAUGAAUUUUGACCAGGAUAAAAUGAAUAUAUAAACCACAUAAAAUAUAAAUUAAAAAUGGCAAAAAUCCAUUUUAUAAUGAGAACAAUCAAUUAAAAAAAUAUAAUGAAUCGCUCAAAAUGAGGACUGACAAAAAUAGGCAUAUGAUAUAUUUUCGAAGGUCGAUCAACUUUUCUCCUAUAUAAAAUGGAGAAUAGAUCGUUUAUAUGUACACACACCGUCGCCGACGAAUAUUGAUCUAAAAUUUCACCGUCAAAGACGACGCCAACAUUGUACAAGCAUCAUUCAGUAUGCUUCUCCAUUAAAAUAUCAUUGUAGCUUGACGAAUGCACACGAAAUACAAUUCGAUGGAAAAAGCCAAUAAUAGGACUGAUCCACUGCACACAAAAAAAAGGAAAGGAAAAGGACAAAAAAUCAAUUGGAUAGCAUACAUACAUGCAUGUGGUGUGCGUACAAGACAUAUGCCAUAUAAUCACACACCGCAAUUGGUUUCUUCCUCUUAAUCUUAAGCAUGCAUUAGGCUCCAAUUAAAAUAAUUAAAGUAAAAAGCCCAUACGUGCCUUGUAGCAGGGGCCCAUCUUUAGAUAGACCUUGAUCAAGGAAAGUCAUUAAACUAAUUGGGCCAGAGGGGCGAACCAACCUGUGGUUGGAUGGUUAGAGGAUUAUGGUAUCCCAGUCCAUCAGGGUCAAAUCUUGAUACUCGCAUUUAUUCUUAGAUUUAUUUCAGGAUUUCCGGCGAUGCACAUUCAGUGGGAGGAGACGUUCCCGUCGACGACGAGGUGUCUACAGUGACUUUGUAAAUUUCAAGAUGAUAUGCCGGCUCAGUCUUUCGGAGGUGCUCAUAAGGAUAGGGUGUGCGUGUAUGCGUUCAUAGGGUAAGUGUAUGCGCGUGUAUAUGAGCGCUUGCGUCUAUACUGUGUUAAAAAAAUUAGGCCAGAAGGCCAUGUGCGCUCCCGCCGAAGUCCCAUCAAUCAACUCAGGAGACCAAGUCUGCAACACUCCAUUUUCUUACCCACGUUCUACCAUCCAGCCACGCUCCCGCUCCCACGUCCUGCACGACAGUGACGUGCAGGUUGAUUCCUUGGCGCGCGCGGCAGCCUCCAAAGGCCACUGCUGCACACCCGCCCCUAUAAAUACCUCGCAAUCAGACUGCUCUAGGGUCAGCCCUUAGAUCGUUUCUCCCACUGCUAAAAUUACACACACAGGUACUUACAACACAUAAAAGCAUAGAGAGAAAGAAGAGGCAGGCGUGGUGCCUGCAGGAGGUGAGAAGGUGAGACUCAUGGCUUUCUUCUACCCCUAGUUUGGCUAUUGUGGUACAGACUCGGGAGCUUUCUUCUUCUUCCUCUCUCAAAAUUCUUGCCCUUAGUCCGGCCAUUGCGGUACAAACUAAGGAGUGUGUUACAUCCAUCUCAAACUUUUGUUUUUGGUUCGGCCAUCGCGGUACAAACCAAUGAAUUAAUGUUAUAUCCAUUCCAAACUUUUGCCUUCGGUUCGGACAUCAUGGCACAAAUUAAGAAGCAUGUUUCAUCUUCCUAAAAUUCUUGCCUUUGCUUCGGCCAUUGCGGUACAAACAAAGUGCAUGUUUAAUCUACAUAAAAAAUUCUCCAUGGUUUGGCCAUCGCGGUACGAGCCAAGGAGCAUGCAUGUUUCUUCUGCAUGUUGCAUAUGCUUCGUCCUAAUAAUCUCCUUCUUGGUUCGGUCCCCUUAGUGAUACAAGCCAGGACGAGCGUCUUGUUCUUUGGUUUGGUCCCUAUACACGGAUACAAAUCAAGAGAGUAUCAUAGGCACGAAAACUUCAUAAAAAAUGCCUUGAUUUGGUAAUCAUAAAAAAUGGAUAUGACUAAGUUGGAAUGAAAUUACGAACGUGCUAAACUGAACUCAUGAUAAACUCUUGUUUGGUUGCGCUACAGGCAUUAUGUGUCACACUAGUUGUAUUACAAACAAGAGCAUAAAAUAUAUUCCCCCGCUUGGUUACGCUGCACGCGGGCAUUACCUUAGUGCCACGCGGUGUUAGUAGUAAUACGAGCAGGGCAAAACUUAAUUAAAAAAAUGUGUUCAUGUUACACACCCAGAAACCAAAAUCAUGUAUGAUGAAUUAUAAAACAUGUUGCAUCAUAAAAACCAAUCUUACUUUGUUACGCUACACGCGGACAUUAUCUUAAUGCUACGCCAUGUUAGUAGUAAUACAAGUAAGAGAGAAGUAAACAGAAUAUUCGGGCCACAUAUUUUGGCCAAAGUCAAACAAAAUAUGUCAUGAAAUGCUCCAAUGCUAUAAGAGCCUAAACUAUUAGCAUCGUCAUAAAAGGAUAUCACAAACUCACUUUACUUGGGUUAUGCUAUACAUGAACGUCAAUGAAAUGACGCUAUGUGGAGUUAGUGUUAAUACCAUGCAAGGUACAAACAUAAACAAAAAUGAUAUAUGUCAUAUGACUCAUGCAACACCAUAAUUACUCCACAAACCUUUGCCUGGUUACGCUGUACGUGGGCAUUAUCUUAGUGCUACGCGGUGUUAGUAGUAAUACAGGUAAAGCAGAACUUAAUAAAAAUAGGUUCACUCCACAUCCACAUACAAAAUUCAUGCAAAAUACAUGAUAAGGGAUGUUCCAUGUAGCCCACAUAGGCUUUAAACAAACAAAAAUAUCAUAAGCAAACUACACUCACAAACUCCAUUCGGGUCAAGCUAUACGUGUGUCAUAUCAUUACACCGCGUUGUUAGUUCUGAUACCGUGUGAAGUCGAAAACAACAAAAAUGACACCUAUCACAUGCGCCAUAGAAAGCAUCAAGAUUGUGUCAGAAAGCUUCAGUCCGUUACGCUACACACGGGCACCACAUCAGUGUCACGCGAUGAUAGUAGUAAUGUGAUGAUGCGAAACUUAUUAAAAUUGGUAUGUAACAUAAAUCAUGCCACCAAAACCAAAGAUGUCAUAUAAAAUUUUCAAAGAAAAUAUAUACAUAUCCUAUAUGCCAAACGUAGGAUAAAACUAUGCCUAGCCAAAAUCAGCCUGCAUUCUGCAUAUACAUGAGGUUGAAUACACACAAAUGGUUGCAUGCUAGGAAAUAUAUUCCCAAACAGCACACAUGAAAUCAUAGAGGAGUAUUUGCAUGGAGCCAAACUUCAAGCUCACCAAGCAGGAGUUCAUCGUCGGCCACGAGGAGAAUUUCUCUUGUAGAUUAUUGUAAUAGGCAUGUGAUGUAAUCCUAUGUAAUAGAUAUGUUGGAAUUCUUAAUCAGGGGUUUUCUCUUCGGAGAUGUAAUUAACAGAAUUUUUAUGUAAAUAUAACAGUUCUGGAAAUAAUGUAACUGCAAUGUUUGAUUCUAUUUUUAUUUUAUGCAUUUAAAUUUCACUCUGUAUCAAUGAUGUGGAAGCGUAUUUUCACGCCCGCCAUUUUCCCGUCAUCAGCCACCUUCACGGCCUCCUGCACCUCCCCGUGACCUGGAGAGGUUCUUCGUGACAACACUUCAGUGUUGUCCGUAGCGGUGGGUGGAGAAACCUGCAGAGGAGAUUCGCUCUCCCUCGCGUUCGGCCCUAGCAAGUUCCCGGAUGACGAUGACCGUUGAGGGAGAUCACGAGUCGGGUUGCAACGCGCAAUUCAAUAUAUUAGAACUAUAAGGCAUAAAAUCGGAUAUAUGAACGGUGUCUUUGGAUACUUAUGAUCCAGCCAGGGGCUUUGGCCUGGGGUGCCACUCGGGGAUGGCUUCGGCAUCCGUUUCAGAGUCAUCCGAAAGGGAGGGUUUCCCCUUCUUGGACGCUUCCGCCUUUAGAUCCGUGGAAGCCGUCCUUUUCUUCUAGCCCCCUUAAGGGGAGAGUUGCUCUCCUCCUUCUCUACAUCUUCGUCAUGAGAGGAGGAGGUCUCGGUGUCUUCGGACACGACGUCCGAAGCACCCUUACGGCGGAGGCCACCUCUGGCCUUCUUGCCCUUUGGCCUUCUUCUCCGGCGCCUGAUACGGCACCGGAACCAGCAUCUUUGUCAGCAAAGAAGUGGCCUGGUCUUCGGGCAGCAUAGCCAGACAUUUGAUCUGCUCCACCUUCUUUGCCCAGCCCUGUGGGAGUAAGAAAGUUCAAUAUACUCCUUGUAUUUGCAAAUUAAAGUUAUCAUAAAACUUACAGGAGUGGCCAGAUGGGCGCAGUCGAGGCCGCGGUCUUCGGUUGUUUCCGGCCACAACUUUUGAGCCUUGAAAAGCAGCUUCCAUAUAUCUUCGUGCAUCGUGCCGAAGAACCGCUGCAGGGUCCGAGGACCGGUCGGGUCGAAUUCCCACAUAUGUAUAGUCCGUCGUUGGCAAGGGAGAAUCCGGCAAAAAGGCAUCACCUGGAUCACGCUGGCAAGACUGGUGUUCUUGUUUAUCAUACCCUUGACGCGGCCCUCCAGCGUCGUCACCUCAUUGGGCGACUCCCAAUCUAGGCCCUUAUUGAGCCAGGAUGUAAGCCGCAUUGGGGGCCCGGACUUGAACUCAGGAUCGGCGACCCAUGUGGCAUGACGGGGUUCCGUGAUAUAGAACCACCCAUGCUGCCAUCCCUUGACAGUCUCCACAUAUGUCCCCUUUGGCUAGGUGACGUUGGGAAAUUUGUUGACCAUGGCGCCGCCGCACUCCACAUGUUGGCCUUCAACCACCUUCGGCUUCACAUUGAAGACCUUGCACCAUAGGCCAAAGUGGGGAGGUAUGCGGAGGAAUGCCUCACACACGACGAUAAACAACGAAAUAUUGAGGAAGGAAUUUGGGGAUAGAUUGUGAAAAUCUAACCCAUAAUAAAACAUGAGACCGCAGACGAAAGGAUGAAGGGGAAACCCUAGCCCGCGAAGGAAAUGAGGGAUGGACACUACCCUCUCAUUAGGCUCCGGAGUGGGAAUGAUCUGCUUUUUGGCAGGGAGCCGGUGGAUUAUGUCCGUGGCCAGGUACCCACCAGCUUCCCGGAGGUCCUUGAUGUUCUCUUCUAUAACAGGGGAAGCCAUCCACUUGCCCUGCGCCCUAGAUCCGGACAUGGCUGGGUUGUUUGGUGGCGAUAGAAAGGAUUGGAACUUGGGUGCUGGACCUCGAAGGGCAGACGGGCUGAGGAGGAAGAAGGCGUGGGGUAAAAAGACGAAUCCUUAUCUUCUUAUAAAGGCAGUGGAUAUCAAGCGUCCCCUCCUAAGCCUUAAAUCUCGCCUAUUCCCAAGGGGGCGUGUGGAUGGCACUGUUGGAUUACCCAAACCCCUUUUGAUGAGAAUCCCGUGAUAAGGGGACACGAUCUCUGCUUUGACAAGACGUGUCAAUAAUCGUGCCUCGAAACACGAAGCGGGGGCUGUAAAACGGUUCGGGAUACUAACAAGGCCAAGACAUAACGCCUCGUCGGAAAAAUUGCCUAUGGACGUGACUUACUUUGUUUUGAAUAUUUUUGCCCUUACAGCUCAAAGUUGUAAUUAUUGAACAGAGCCGAAUACAACUAUUAUGUAUGAAAAACUUCUUAGGAGUAUUCGGAGAAGGAACCGGCCUUGCAAUGCCGAAGACACUCUGUGCACCGGAUACUUCGCCAUUGAAGCCCGGUUCAGGGGCUACUGAGGGAGUCCUGGACUGUGGGAUCCUCGGGGAGCCGGCCUAUGUGACAUGGGCCAGACUGAUGGGCCGUGAAGAUAUGUGAUAGAAGGCCUUCUCCCGUGUUCGGAUGGGAGUCUCCUUUGCGUGGAUGGCGAGCUUGGCAUCCGGAUGUAUAGUUUCCUUCCUCUGUAAACCGACCUUGUGCAACCCUAGUUCCCUCCGGUGCCUAUAUAAACCGGAGGGCUUAGUCCAUAGGCAGAAUCAUAACCAUACAGGCUAGACAUCUAGGGUUUAGCCAUUACGAUCUCGAGAUAGAUUAACUCUUGUAACCCCUAUACUCAUCAAAGUCAAUCAAGCAGGAAGUAGAGUAUUACCUCCAUUAAGAGGGCCCGAACCUGGGUAAACAUUGUGUCCCUUGUCUCCUGUUACCUUUGAUCCUUAGACGCAUAGUUCAGGACCCCCUACUCAAGAUCUACCGGUUUUGACACCGACACUCGGACCCAACAAUUUGAUCCAUUCGGUGCCACCGAGUUCACUUGACAUAGCCACUGCCAGAAAACCUAAUCAGUUCGAUCUCACCGCUGGGAUCUCGGUCUCACCGACAUGACCUUGCAAACUCUGUGUUACCUAUUGCAGUUAUUUCGGUCUCACCGAGAUACGCAGUCGGUCCCACCGAGUUUGCUUGACCAAGUCUCUGUUUGCUUAUUGCUGAAACCGGUCUCACCGAGUUCACGCAAUCAGUCUCAUCGAGAUGAGGUUUUGCCCUAACCCUAGCACAUAGGUCCCACCGAGUUGACCUUGUCGGUCCCACCAAAAUGCCUAACAUUCACAUUUUGAACCAAGUCAGUCUGACCGAGUUAACCCAUUCAGUCCCACCGAGUUUGGGAAUUUGUGUGUAACGGUUAGAUUUUGUGUGGAGGCUAUAUAUACCCCUCCACCCCUUUCUCCAUCUGUGAGAGAGCCAUCAGAAUGUGCCUACACUUCCACUACUCAUUUUCUGAGAAAGAAUCACCUACUUAUGUGUUGAGACCAAGACAUUCCAAUCCUACCACAAGAAUCUUGAUCUCUAGCCUUCCCCAAGUUGCUUUCCACUCAAAUCAUCUUUCCACCAUAGCUAAAUCUAUGAGAGAGAGUUGAGUGUUGGGGAGACUAUCAUUUGAAGCACAAGAGCAAGGAGUUUAUCAUGAACACACCAUCUAUUACCUUUUGGAGAGUGGUGUCUCCUAGAAUGGUUAGGUGUCACCUGGGAGCCUCCCUCAAUAUUGUGGAGUUGAACCAAGGAGUUUGUAAGGGCAAGGAGAUCGCCUACUUCGUGAAGAUCUACCCUAGUGAGGCAAGUCCUUCAUGGGCGAUGGCCAUGGUGGGAUAGACAAGGUUGCUUCUUCAUGGACCCUUCGUGAGUGGAGCCCUCUGUGGACUCGCGCAGCCGUUACCCUUCGUGGGUUGAAGUCUCCACCAACAUGGAUGUACGAUAGCACCACCUAUCAGAACCACGCCAAAAAUCUUCGUGUCUCCAAUUGCGUUUGCACACUCCAAUCCCAUCCCUUUACUUUCUUGCAAGUUGCAUGAUUUACUUUCCGCUGCCCAUAUACUCUUUGCAUGCUUGCUUGAAUUGUAUUGUGAAUGCUUGAAAUUGUGCUAAUUUGCAACCUCAACUUGAAAAACCUAAAAACUGCUAUAUUUACUUGCUGAGGGUCUAAUCACCCCCCUCUAGACACCUCUUCUCGAUCCUUUCAAGAACCCUAGACUGCUGAUUUGAAGAAUAAUCGUCGAAUUUCUCAAAGAAUCUCCAACUUAAUGUGACGUUACUGCCUCUCUGCCAAAUCUGAGUUCUCGUGAAUCAAUACCAUUCCUGCCAGUACUACCUCCUCCUUUCUGGUAUCCAGCGAGUGUUGCUCCUACACUUCCAUUUCCACAGGGAUCCUGGUGUGCAACACUGACAAAUCGAUCCAGAAUUUGAGAGGAAGAGUGGCACCCGGGUCGUAGGCAGGGGCAUUGAGAAAAAUGGAGAUCACAAGCGUGGUAGCUUCCCAAAAUCCUUCCACUGCUCUCUUUGGAUUGGGGAUUGGGAUACCGCCUCACCGCUGCCCACUCUAGUACCCGGUCCAAUGAGAUCGGUCUGCUGCUCGCAAAAAAUCACGUCCGCUCCCAAUGAGGUUCGCAUUACCACCUACACGACUAAAUUGUGCCUUGCCUUGCCGGUCGCCCCCUUCUACAGCAUCCUCGCCUGCCUCUAUGUCGAGAUAAGGAGACCUUGUUGAUACCAAUUGUAGGAUCGAGAGUAUAUCGACCAGAGAGGGAUGAAUGAGAGAUUUAGAAUUUCUUUCGAAACGUCAAAUCUCUCAAGAUAAUGGAGUGGAAGUAAAACUACAACAGAGACACUUAAACUAAAUUGGGAUAGGCACAUGGAGAAAAAUAGGCUAAACUAGAAGACUAAGCAAAACUUUUGAUGAAAGCAAUGAUAAUCUUUCUAGUAUAGUGACAUAGUCACGAUGACAAUGGAAACACAUAAAGGAAACAUGAUAAACAUAGAUAAACAAUUAUGAACAAUAUAGAUCGCAAAACAUAAACACUUUACUGAGAAAUGUUCAUUAGAGCAAGACUCGGCUGAGUGACAAAGUAACACCAAAGAAUGAACAAACGAGCAUACAAACAGAUAACUUUGAGCACAACAAUUAAAAUAUACUAAAUAACACAGCCAUGGAACAGAUAAUAAGCCGAGGUGGAUAUAUGAUCAGUGAGAUAUCUAUCGGAACACAAAGCACUGAAAAUGAACUAUUGAAGGUAUUGCAGUAGAAUAGAAGUGACCAGUGGUGCUUGGCGACAAAUGAUUUGGUAGACGAGUUCGCUACAAAAGAGUUACGUCUGGUUGGAGGGACUUGUGAUUGAACACAGGAGCAGACGUCUCUCCACCCCAUCCUCCGUACCUUUUCUUGACUUGUUUUGUUUUGUUUUUUCUUUCUUUUUCUAUUUCUUUUCUUCGAUGUCUUUCCUUUCUUACUUUUCUUUUUCUUUUAUGUUUUCAAAGUGCACGAAUUCUUUCAAAUUCGAUGAUUUGUUUUUUUCAAAUUGUAUGAACUUUUUUUACAUUGGUGAUCUUUUUUUCAAAAUAGAUGAACUUAUUUGUUAAAGUCGAUGAACUUUUAUCAAAUUUGCGAGCAUUUUCUAAAAUUGAUGAACUUGAUGAACUUCUCUCAACAAGAUCAAAACUUUUUUUUUCUAAAUUGAUAAACUUUUUAAAAAUUACAAACCUUUUUAAAUUUUGUGAAGUAUUUUUAAAUUCACAAAUUUCUUUCAAAUUCGUAAAGACUUUUUCCAAACUCAUGAACUUUUUUAAACUCAUGUAAUUUUUAAAACGUAUGUUCAAUUUUUGAGUUCAAGAUCCCGUUGAAGGCGCGGAUUAGGAGCUCCCGUGUUCCCGUUGAUCUGAGCUAAAAAUGAAGUAUUAGACCCCGCACAUUUCAAUCAACGCAUGGACUAGCCCAUCAUGGUACCUGCAGACUAAAGCCCAGUGCACCGAGCCCACGGGACCGUUCAACCAUCGGGCAAAUCGAACCACGGCCAGGACCUCGUACGUAUCGCCAGCCGGGCACAGCGACACCGCGCCCGCCGCGCCAGCACAGGUGUCGCGGCGCGCCCGACACGAGUGCUCGCAUGCGUCCCACGCGGCCGCUCCAGCUCCGGCCUCCUCCACGUAACACCAUGCGCCGCGCUCCUCUAUAACCUCACUCCCCUCCCCUCGCUCCCUUCACUCACACCGAGCGUGCUCCGGUAGUGCCCCUCCCUCCACACGUUCCUUCCUUCGCAUGGCUGACCACCACAGAGACAGGGGUGUCCUAGGCGGCGGCGGCGCCUUCGGCGACCGCAGUGGCCAUGGAGGCUACGGCGGCGACCACCACGAGCAGCACCAGCAGAAGCAGCCCGCGCUGAUGUGCGCCCUCAAGGCCGCGACGGCGGCCACGGCCGCCGGGUCGAUGCUGCUGCUAUCCGGGCUGAUCCUGGCAGGCACCGUCAUCGCGCUCACCGUGGCCACUCCCGUGCUGGUCAUCUUCAGCCCGGUGCUGGUGCCGGCGGCCAUCGCGCUGGCGCUCAUGUCCGCCGGCUUCGUGACGUCCGGCGGGCUGGGCGUGGCGGCGCUCUCCGUGUUCUCGUGGAUGUACAAGUACCUCACCGGCAAGCACCCGCCGGGCGCCGACCAGCUGGACCACGCCAAGGCGCGGCUCGCGUCCAAGGCCCGCGACAUCAAGGACGCCGCGCAGACCCGCAUCGACCAGGCGCAGGGGGCUUGAAGAUGAGGUGCGUGCCCCGACGCGCGGCCGAUGCGUGGGUGAUGAACGAUAUAGCGUACGAUUGCUGAUCCGUGCGCGCGUUUGAUCGCCGCCGUGCCCGCCGAGCGAGCAAGUCGACGACGUUUACCACCUGUUGUGCUAUCCGACCGAGUGCGUGUUUAGACUUUUGUUGUGAACUAGUUGUUCUCGUCCUAGUACUCUAGCAGUAUGUUUCCGUGGUCGAAGUCGGGAGAGGGUCUGGAUGCUGGAUGUAUGGUGUGUGCUUGUGGAUGUCUCUGCGUUUAUGAUGAAUAAAUUGCCAAGUUAGGGCGAAGUGUGCAA